rnacentral:lncRNA from 1 species
UUGGGGUUUUUCUUGAUGGAUUCUCGUGGGAAUUAGUUCAUGAUUUCUUCUUUUACGCCACAUUUAGGAUACUGAUUCUUCUUGUAGUCCCUGUUUGUUGGGAUUCUUCUUGAUGGAUUCUCGUGGGUAUUAGUUCAUGUUUUCUUCUUUUACUCGACAUUUAUUUGAGUUCUCGAUGAUUCUUUCUGAGUACUGAUUCUUUUUGUAACCAUAUUGGAUCUAAUCCAACAGACAGCCAACUACAAGCAACUCAAGAAGGGUGCUAACGAAGUUUUUUUUUUUUGUCUUUUGUUGAGAUGUAACCAGGUUGUUAUGGAAGUGCACACACACAACGGUUGUUAUGGAAGUGACGAUAUAGGGGAAGAGAUAACAUUCUUUGAUAUGGAAGUGACGAUAUAGGGGAAGAAAUAACAUUCUUUGAUGAGAUGUAACUAAGGGUUGACGUUAUGGCAUUGGGUAUAUUAUUAGUCCACUACUAGUUUUCCAGCUUGGGAUGUAGUAAGUAGGUCCCCAUCCAUCCAUCCAUCCAUGUACUUACUAUCUCAUUAUUAUACAAAAUAUAUAGGGAUUGAUCGUUUGAUUAGAAUGUUAAUCUGACAUUUGGUUGAAGGAAAGCCAAAUGUUGAUGCGAGUGGCUGAAUGCCAGUGAUCUUUUUUGUCUAAACGCUACUUCCAAGCAGUGAGUGGUGUGGUGGUUACACACAAUUCAAUAGUUUUUUUUAUUUAUUAUUGGGGUUUUAAAAUUGCGAAUCCGUGUGAAUUGUGUGUAUGUUUGUUGCAAUGUUCAGAUUUUCUGUUCCCUAUGUUUUUUUGUUCCUCAAGCACUUUUUGGGUCGAGCUUGUGGCGGGGGAUAUUCUUCGCCAUCGCAAAGUCUGCAGCACAUUUGCAAUCAACUAAAUCAAUUAGCCAAUAAAAACUGCGCCUAACUUGUAUGGCACAAGAUAGGUUUUUAUCAAAGACUACUCUGGAGCGAGAAUUACACAACAAAGACAAGUGCCGCGAAGCCUGAGCUGAGCUGAAGGGUCAACUCAUACUUGAACCGCAAAGGAAGUCCGUGUACCUGCUGUCACGCAAACCACUGAAAACCAAAAAGUCCACAAUUAGUUUUUUAAGUCCAUACUAGUCACAAAGCUCUUAAUAUAACACAACAUAAAGGAGGAGUGUUACCAUUUCACUGAUUAGGUAUUUGAUUCUGUGGUUGUGCAAAGAAGUCUUUGGCAUUGCGUGCCACCUCUGCCUCCACCACUGCUUCUAGCAGAAUAUCGCAACCUUUUGCUUCUUCAUCUGACAUCACAUCAAACAAAAAAAAAACAAACAAAAGUUGUUUCAGAUGAUAUAUAUAUAUAUAUAUAUAUAUAUAUAUAUAUAUAUAAUCCCUAAACUAGUGAUGCAAGAGAUAAAAAAAAAUUGAGUCAAUUACUCCUAGUGAUGCAAGAGAUUAAAAAAAAAAAAAAGGCAUAAGAAGACUUUACUAGAAACAUUUAAAAGAGGUUUAAGUUGUCUUUUAAUUAACUAGAGAUAUUGUCCUGUACGGAACUUAGCAGGUAAAGACCUAUGUAACUUCACUAGAGAUUUGUUACUGUUGUACAUGCUUGAAACCCAAACAAAAGAGAGAGAGAGGAGCAAAAGAACUAUUACCUCCCAACUAAUGAACCAACAUUUACUGUUUUUAACAUUUGAUGGAUUAAUUGUAACAUUAUCUUUUUUUCUGUCCCACUCCAAGAGAAAAUCCAAACUUUUGACACAUCAAUCUAUCUAAAGAGAAUGUGAAAAAUUAAAACUAACAAGUUUCUGCUGUCAUAGAUAGAUCUCAAAUGCUACUUGAUCAAAUGGUCCAUUUUUAACUAAUAUUAGAUUCAAUUAAAUUGAUCUAGUUCAGGCACAGUUUGGUUUUAGGUUAACCAUUAUUUACUUCUUGAAGAUCCAGAUCUGUUGAAGGUCCAAAUUCUCUAUGUUGUAAGCAUUUCUGUAUUAUUUUCAAGAAUGUAAUCAUCAAGCAUGCAUAUCAUGGGAGGUCCAUCUGUGAGAAAUCAGUUAAGCAAGUUUCUGCAAUCAGUCGAGGAAUUGGACUAGGAAAUUUUGGUCAAACAUGGAGAAGAAUCAAAUGGAUUCUCCAAAACUUCAAGCAUACAUACAUAUCAUGGAAGCUGCACUUAUGUGGAAUCAAUCAGAGGAAUUGGACUAGGAAAUUUUGGUUGAACAUGGAGAAGAAUCAGAUGGAUUCUCCAAGCUUCAAUUCAUCAAGCAUACAAAGGCAAUAAAGAAGAGAGGUAGCUCCAAAAGAGAAACACAUCAUCUGCUUUACUAAAACCUUGAUUAAAACCAACAAAUCAAACAGAGACUUCUGAAACUUCUGCGUAUGAAAAAAAAAAAAAAAGACAAAGAAGCUACAAAUUAAGAAUCUAAAAUGAGGUAGAAGACAUUUUUGUUUUCUUGUUUGUGACAUCAAAAUAUAUAUAGAAAAAUCCAAAAUUUUCUCACCCAGUAUUCUUUACGGAACUCAUAGUGUAUAAAAUCUAAACAUAACUGCACCUUAUGAAACUUACUGGUCGCUGACAUUUUAGUCUCGGUCAAUGACAUUCACUUUCAUGUCCAUUGCUCAAUCAUCGUCUUCUUUCUAAAUAUCUUAAGAGUCCUUUAAAGUUAGCCUAUUUUUCCUAGUCCAAUUCAUUUGACAAAAACUUCAUAGAAUUGGUACAAAAUAUAUAAAGUAAUUCAACCUAGAUAAAAACAUGGAAUUCUAUCAGCAGCAGAAGUGACUAGAGAUUUACCACGAUGCUUUGGAAGUAAUCCCGCAGAUUCAGCAGAGACAGGCAGAACAGUCAGCAGAUCGCCUUCACCAUUAAGUUUCAACACAUCUUCAUGAGUUUCAGAAGAACUUAAUUUGAUAUUUGGAGCUUCAGCUAGCCUCGCAUAAGCCAUUGCUUGGCUAUGCAGACUGGAAGAAACUGAAUUUGCUCUAGUCAGAUCCUGGAGAGUGAAAAUGAAUACAAGAAAUAAGCAACUUGAGAUGCAUAAACAUGAUAACAUAAUUAUCUGGGUUGAGUGAAACCUUAGAGAUUGUUGCUAUUGGCUGAUUCUCUCCAUCAGGUUUUGCAGCAAUGUCAAGGCCUGAUAAUAUCCUUGAAAAGGCCUUGUUAUAGUAGAAAUUCCAAGAAGCAUUGUGCAAAAAUACAAAGAAUAAAGGGACCUUGAAAUAGAUCAGAACUACAAAGUUUGCUCCAUACCAGUGUUUUGCACUUGUUCUUGUCCAUCCAGCCUCCGUGUAAAUGGACCUGGGUUUAUGAUUGAUAUGCUACGUAUUUCAUAACGAAUUGCUUCUAAUUGAGCAAUGGUGUCUUGUAGUUCUUUGUGUACCUAAGAAUGUGAUACUAUGAGGAAUACAAUGAUAUAUAGGAUAAGUUACAUGAGCCAGAUCAGCAUGAUUCUCUUAAAGAGAAACAUAAUGUUCUAUUGUCCAGAACAAUCAGCAAGAGAUACUAUCAUAUACACCACAUUGAAUAGGAUUUAUUGUUCUCAACUUCUUUCAAUCAGAUAAAGAAUAAGAAAACAAAUGACAAAAUAAGAAGGCCUGGUAGAUCUUUUAUGUUUCAUUAAGUUCUAGUUUGUUGCAUGCAUGGUAUUGACAAAAGGUUACAGACACUUCACUUUCUUUUCCUCUAGAAAAAUCGAGUUUCGCCAAGAGAGAAACACAAUUCAUGAGGAUUCCAAAAAAAUAAUAGAAAUGCACGACUGUUUAAUCUUUUUAAUAAUCCUUGCUGUUCACAUUAUUUAAAUUUAAUCAUUAAUGCCUCAUCUAUUUUUUUCUUGUCCAUUAAUUUUUCGUUGUAAUUUAGUCCUAGUUGUUUCCAGUGUCCACAAAGUAACCCAUGCUACAAAUCCAUAAUUCUUGUGAUCCAUGCUGCACAAAAUUUAAACCAGCACAUAAUUCACUUAUGGUGACACAAGAUAUCCAUAACCGCCAAUGCUGUAUUCAUACCACCUAUUGUCAGCUUGCUAGAAAUUUUUCCACAUUUUACGCAAGAACCAUGCUUUAGCAACGUUCAUCACAAUUCCUCAUACUUUCCUCCUUUCUCAAGCUUCAUAUUCCAAUUGGACAUCCCAAUGCCACAGCUUUAUUAUUGCCUGGAUACAUCAUGUGCUACUAUGAUAUUUUGUCCUUAGAAAUGGAUAAUUUUUCAUUAAAAUAGAAUGACAUCUUGUUGGCUUCCUGGAGAACAAGAACAUUCCUCAUGUCAACAACUACCUUGUGCAUGGGCUAUUUAGUUAAUAGAUACUUCAGAGCAAGCAGGGUCAUUUUCAUUAUUAAUAAAUUAUUUCAUGAACAACCAACUCAACACAUGCCUAGUUUAGAUAUCAAAGUUUUUCUUUCCCAACAAGAAGUAUAACAUAUAGUGACCGGUUAAAUUAUAUACAACAUAAAAAACUUGAGAGUUUAGAUAUCAGGUCACCAAGCAUCAUGAACAUUAAAGAUAUGUUAUAGCUAUUUCUGGCACCUACUCCAAUCAUCUAGUUAGCAGGCUUUCGAUGUUAAUUUUCGGUCAAUUGUCCUGAACUGAUGCCUAGGCUUUCUUAAGAAACUCCAUUACUCCUAGCUAUACUCAUGGUAGAAACAAAAGUUUAUACUCAAGAAAUUUCCUUUCCAUAGCUUCUGCACAUGUCAUCAUAACAUAGCUAUUUUCAGUUUGAAAGAUCCGCCAUAUUCUUUGUAUUACGUAAGUCUCACAUAACUUCAAAUCAUUUCAUAUAUCAUUUUAUAUUGUAUUUUUCAACUCAAGAGCUUCAUUGGAAAUAAAAUUAACAUAUAUGCUAGUGUUUCAACUUAAAUUUCUCACAUAACAAGCAAAAGUCCUGUUUCAGAAAGGAAGGCCAAACAAUUUUCUCCACAAAGUCUACUUCUUAAUUACUUUGUGAAUCCUGUGAUGCAGACUAUGUCCUAAAGAAACUUACGUGGCAAAAGAAAGUGAUCUUGGAAUAAGUCAAAAGAAAUCCAUUUUCACUCAUAUGCAACUGAAAUGAGUUGCAAUUCUCAUAUUAUAAACAAAUAGCUAACUUAAUAUGCAAAAAAAAAAAAUCUAUGACAAAGAAGCUGAAUUGCUUUCAACCAUUCAUGUCUUUGGAACAAUGGUUCUAGAAAGCUGAAGUCUCUACGUACCACUGGUUAUCUACAAAUUGACAUUUAGUGUAAUGCCAUCAUAACAGGCUAAACGACACUGUCAUGUAACCUUGCAUGACUUAUAAAUUACAAUUAGAUAUUAACUGAAGAAAGCUCAAAAGCAUGGGAUCUUGAGAAAGAAAGCAACAACAAGAAAAAGAUAGAGAAAGACUGCAUCUGAACAACAGCAAUAUUUAGAUGCCUGCAUUCUACUGAUCAAGCUUAUUCCCUUCCAUGAGACAUGCAAACUGUUCAUAGCAAGUCACUUGUAUCAUCGCAUGUUUAUGAAAAAUAGAUUUAUUCAUAGACAACUGAACUUAGCAGAAAGAAAAAGUAGCACCACCUUGUUAGCCUGAGAUUGCUGCACAACUGUUUCAAACUGCCCACGAGCCAAUUGAACAUACCCAAUCGCUCUUCCUGCGAGUCUCCCAGCCGUCCUAGCAAUAACUGGGAGAUCCUUUGGGCCUAAUUAUAUUGGAAGGCAAUAAUGAAGUUAACUAUACUGAUAAUAGUAAGAUCUACAAUUCAUUAAAUAAAAAUUUAAGAAAUUUAUUCUCAACAAGCUAAAGAAGGUAUACCGAUAAGGGCUGCUGUAGCCCCUAGAAUAAGAAAUAGCUCUCCGUAUGAAAUUCCAAACAUUAAACUACUGGAUUUUACACAGCAAACUGUUCCUGCAUUUAAACCAUGAAAUAUAAGAAUGCUCAAGGUACACUUCAUUGAAAUGAUGAGCUUUUAGUUAUAUAUCUGGCUUUGAAGCAAUCACUUGUAGAUGCAUAACCAGAGGACUCGUCUAUCAUGCUUAAGUAUCAUUUAUAUGUAUCAAUGUCAAAAAUUAGAAUAUAACCAUGAAUAAAGCAUCAGCAGAUCCAAAUAUCUCAAGGGAAAGGCAUGACAAUGCAAGAUCAUAAAACUUAGCUUCUUCUUGCUUUGUCAAUUGCUUACACUUCAACACGGGGAGACAUCAUUCAAAAUCUCAUAAAAAUGAAAUUUCUUUAACCAGAGUAAAUCAAACGAGGAUGCAGAAAACAUAUGAUAACUUCCACCAGUGAAAAACUACCCAUAUGUUUAAAUGAAAGGAAGUGGAGAGUACAGGUUGCCAAGCAACAUUUAAGGAACAUGGAAGAAGGGGAAUGAUGUUUGCAAUAAGUUGUACAAUGAAAAGGCUAAAGAAACUCUUCUUGUUCAAUUUAAUUAUCUGAAUUGGAAAAAUGCAGUCUGUGUGAAAGAUCACACAUGUAGAUCCGUUUCUUAACUAACAAACUGACCAUAUUAUCUUCGAAGAUCAGCAAACAGAAACAUGCCGAGUGAAGAACUUCCAUGGAAAUGUCACAAAAAUGCUCAAAGAAAGCCACUGACAUCUGCAAUCUAAAUGUUGAAAGCAAGAAGACUAGUGCGGCCAACAACAGCAGGGAAGAAAAGCGUUCAAGAACCAGAUGAUUGAAACAUAUGCAAUAUGUAUUUAGCAGGAGCGCAAAAAUCCCAAUUACAUACGGUGUCUCAUAGAUGCCCAAAGAAAGGCAAACUAUUUCAAGAAACUGACAAGUCCAUCACCGAUGGGAUCCAAAAACACACCAAGAUUUGCCAAAUCCAUCACCCCACACCGGCUGGGCCGGAGAACCAACGACGAAACAUCAAGAUGCCAAGAUAAUUUGUCCGAUAACGAUUAUAUAUCAAGAAAAUUCAUACUACCAAAAGCCCCCAAGAACCAAAACCGCUCACCAAGACGCUAAGAACAGAAGAACCGACGAUACCAAUCGGCGGAAAAGGAAUUUAAAAAAAAGAAAGCAAAAUAUUUCGAGAAGCUCACAAGUGGAUUGCCCAUGAGAUCCGAAAACGCACGUAGAUUUGCCGAAAUCCGUCACUUCCCGCCAGCUGGACUGGAGAAACAACGGGGAAACUUCAAGACGCAAUAGGAGAAUAAUCCCAAGAUAAAUCGGCUAGUCACGAUCAGAGAUCAAGAAAAUCCACGCAACAAGAAUCCCCAAGAACCAAAACCGAUCACGAAACGCUAAGAACAGAAGAACCCAUGACUACCAAUCGGCUAAAAAGGUACCAAAAAAAGAAAGCAAAAAAUAUUUCAAGGAGCUGCUGACGAGUGGAUCGUGCAUGCUAUCCGAAAACGCACCAAGAUUUGCCGAAAUCAAUCACUUCACGCCGGCUGGACCGGAGCAUCGAGGGGAAACUUCAAGAUGGAUCGGCCGGUGACAAUCAGCCAUCAAGAAGAUAGAUUCACACAGCAAGAACCCCCCCAACAACCCAAAACCGAUCACCAGUACGCCAAGAACACCGUAAUCGACGGGUACAAAUCGGCUAAAAACCCACCAAAAACAAAAGGAAGAAGAAAGCGUAUCGACCAGCACGAAGCGACGACGGAUCAAGAUUCGCUACCUUGAAAACGGCGACGAAGGCGACUCAGGAAGAACACCCCGCGCGCGCUAGGGUUUCCUUGCGCCACCUGCGAACGCCGAGACCACCGAGCCGGCGAACAAGAUGACCCGCAGUGGGUUCGUUGGGCCAAGGGUCAGGUGAGUAGACGUAUGGCCCAUCUGCAUUAUAUAGUAGAGUAAUAUGGGCCACAAUGGGCCUAAUGAGUCCUUGGACUUUAACACGAACCGGAAACGCCGAUCAAACGUGAUCACGACUUGCACGAGAUUUGAUGCAGAUAUCCUUAAUUCCUGUUUUAUCUAAAAGACUCCUUUUCUUUAUUUUUCUCUUCGAUAAUAAUUAUUUCUUUUAACAAAAUGAAAUAAAAGUGUGGUCAUAACACUGCGACACUUCAAUCUAACGUGCAUGUACUGCCAUGCACGUACAACGUGGCCGGAUUAGUCACGCAUCGGCCAACCUAUCUCGCUGGCUCCUGCCACACCUGUACUUGUUAUCCAACAGCUCGCUGUGGUCUGUCACAGAGUACAAUUCGUCGAUCCAACAUUAUUACAUGCAACUCUUCCUCCAUCUAAUUCACUUGUCCUCCAUUAUUAUCCUUACUUGCGCCACUCUCUCUCUCUCUCUCUCGAAAGAUCUACAUACAUCUGUGUGUAUUCGGACCCAUGCAAACCCUUGCUUAAUUAGAUGCAUGGAUAAGUGGGUGGAUCGAUUCAAUGCAUGCUGUCUGCUCAUCGAGUCAUUCACUCAAUGGUCUCUCUCACUCUCUCUCUCUAAUCAUAGACAAAGGCCUGUUAAGAUGGACAGCGUCACAUGGAUCGUCUAAUGAGACAUUAAAUUGUGGAACCUAAUGAGCAUGUGGAUAAAGACACCAUCCAACCAAUGGAAGCCAUACGAAUCCAUGAAAUGGUGGUGCUUAUCAAGAAAAAGAAUCAAAGUAGGGACCGUAGAUCUCAAGUCGAGGAUGGUUGGUGCGACUUAGCAAUCACAUAUUGACCAUUGUAAAGUACGAUGAGACUGCGGUCGUCCUCCUCCCUUGAAGCUCCAUAAGGCUAGGUUUUACUCGAGUGCAUGUCUUCUUAGCUCUUACCAUAUGAGACCAGUCACGUUCUAUUGAAACUGACACGCACACAUCAAGAAUGACAACGACGACGAUCGAUAUAUGGUUAACCACAUAUCAUCUCUUUUUGUUCUUGUGGAAAUUAGAACAGCCAUUAUUGCUCAACUGUGAUUACAGUGAGCUCCAUUAGAAUCUUGCAAUCACAGCCAAGUCAAGGACAUGGUUGUUGCCACGUCCUAAUCUUCCAACUUUUUGCUUGGACACUUGUAUAUGGGGAUGUAAACAUAGCUCGUUUGCAUAUUAAGUUCCUGGAAUAUUUUCCCUAUUUUACGGUGCCAAUUUCUCUAUACUGCAUUGUGAUCCAACACUUGUUGAGGAUGUCUCUAUUCAUGCACGAUUCUAUAAGGGUGUCUCUGUUCAUAGUCUAUGUAAUUAGUUCACGAUUAUAUUACAAGUGACUUAACGUAUUCUAAUGCAAUAUUAAUGCUAUUAGAUCGAAUUAGCCUCGCACUAAGAGACAAGCCCAAGGUUAAACAUAGCAUGGUCGUAAGAGGAGAGUCACAAUCGAGGGCCCUGCGACGGCUUGCCGUGAGCUGGAGGCCAAAGCUGUCGUGGGGCUCUCAUCCUAAUAAAGCAGAAUCCCACUCUUCCUUCUCUCUCAGCUAUAAAAGCAUCCCCCUCCGGAGAGACAUCUCACUGCUUCUGCCUAUUACCAGUAUUGGCAGGAGGAGGAGGAGGAGGAGGAGGAGAACAAUGGGACACACCACUAUCUUAUCUCUUGCCUUCUUUAUCCUCGCCCUCGUCGCAUUCGCCGGCGCACGCCCGGCCAAUUUCCUCCAAGACUUCCGCAUCACCUGGGCAGGAACUCACAUCAAGCAGCUGCAAGGCGGCAGUGCAAUUCAACUGAUGCUCGAUCCCUCCUCUGGUACUUCCUCUCACUACAGCACUGCGUUCUCGCUACAGUACUCAUAAGUUUUCCGUGGUCAACUCAGGUUGUGGGUUCGCUUCCAACAAGCAGUACCAUUACGGACGCGUUAGCAUGAAGAUUAAGCUCAUCCCCGGCGACUCCGCAGGAACUGUCACCGCUUUCUAUGUUCGUGUCUCGUGUUUAGUUUCGAUGGCAUGCAUUCUUCACGUCCGUAUGGUACACAAGCUUGAGACGAUGGUUGGGUUUUGCAGAUGAAUUCGGACACCGACGCCGUCCGCGACGAGCUGGACUUCGAGUUCUUAGGGAACAGGAGCGGUCAGCCAUACACGGUCCAAACCAACAUUUACGCUCACGGGAAGGGCGACCGGGAGCAGAGAGUUAAUCUCUGGUUCGACCCUGCGGCAGACUACCAUACCUACACUAUCCUCUGGAACCAUUUCCAUGUCGUGUGAGUUCGCCCGCCUCGUUCAUGCAUAUAUUCUCUGGCAUUCUCUCUGUGACGACGACCGAAUUCUGAUUGCUUCAUGGCACGUGCAGCUUCUCCGUCGAUGACGUGCCGAUUAGGGUGUACAAGAACAACGAAGGCAGAGGGAUACCGUACCCCAAGGUGCAGCCCAUGGGAGUGUACUCCACCCUGUGGGAGGGCGACGACUGGGCGACGCGAGGUGGGCUGGAGAAGAUCGACUGGAGCAAGGCGCCCUUCUACGCCUACUACAAGGACUUCGACAUCGAGGGCUGCGCCGUCCCCGGCCCGGCCAACUGCGCCUCCAACCCCAACAACUGGUGGGAGGGGUCGGCGUACCGGCAGCUGAGCCCGGAGCAGGCCAGGAAGUACCGGUGGGUGAGGGCCAACCACAUGAUCUACGACUACUGCACCGACAAGCCCCGGUACCCGGUCCCGCCGCCGGAAUGCUUCGCCGGCAUCUAAGAUAUAUAGCAGAGUGUGUGUGUGUGUGUGUUUGUGUUUGUGCCGAUCAGGUGAAAGGCAUCAUGCAAUAAGGUUCCAUUUGUGCUCGAGUCACACUGUUUAUCUUUACUCUGUCAUUGUAGCGUGAUUAUCUACUUAUGCAAUAAGGAAGAAUUGUAUUGGAUGUAAUUUACCGGAAUAAAUGAAGAACAGUUUUAUUGGAUGAGACGUGAUUCCAUCUUACUUUGUUGUCAUCAGAUUCGUCUCCGUCUCCAAUUAGGUGUAUCUUUUAUACUCUCUUAGAAAGUAAGAUUAGUCUUAAUUCAAUCUGUCUUCUCAUUCAUCAUUGUACAGUUCCAACAACAACAAUAAAGAUCUGUCUUUCUCUCAAAAAAGAGAUAGAUCGGGACAAAAAUAACUAAGAUUAAAUACACCUCUUCUUGAUUUCUGUCUUUCAAAACUUAAAAAUCAAUAAUUACUUAACUCAAAACUCGAACCCAAAAAAUUUAAAAUCUUUCUCUCAUUUUAUUUAGAAACCUUAUAGAUAUCACUCUUUCGAGAGAGAAACACCGUAAUACUUGAUUUAUCUUUUUUGUUAUAAUGACUCUAUAAAUUUUAGAAUAUUUAUCGAUCCCAAUAGAUCUAAAAAAUUAUAUUGAUAAGUUUUUUUACAAAAAUAAAUCAAAAUGAUAAUGAUAAUGGCAAUAAUUAAAAGCAAUAAUGAACCGUAAAUUUUGGCGUGGCCCGCCGGUGGACACACUUUGUCUUGUUCCGUAAGGAACAGUCUAAAUGUCUGAAGCAUGCUUGCAUAAAAAGCUGGAAGAAUCGACCACUGUCGAGGUUGGAUCAGAAGCAUCCAACAGGAGCGCUGCAGACCAAUGGUCACCAUGCAAGUACCUACGUGAUCUUUCCCCAUUGGACAGCAUGAAGAAAGCAUGUAUUAUUUUGCCUCGGAUUGAUUGUCAAGUUAAAGUUACUUAAUCGAAUGCUUGAGAUCGGGAAAUAGGAAUUAAGAUGACCUGCCGACAAGAUGAUGGAUAAAGACGGCGUCUUUCGAUCUGAACAUUAUCGAAUGCAGUCAAACAUUUCGACAAGCUAAUGUGCAUGGAAGAUGGCAUAGCAGAAGAAUCUAACUUCGAAGAGGCAUAGACGACAAAAUACAACCGAUAGCAUUACCGACGAUACGGUCAACACAGAUACAACACAAGAUGGGGGUGGACUUCCAGUGUUCCGAUGAAACCUUAAGAGCUCGCUCGUGGCACACAAUAUGCAUGGUUGCAGCUCAGGGACCGAAGCGAUACAGACCUUCGCUCAUGAAGUGGCCGUCCAUGUAGAGAGCAGCAGCAUUUGGGGCAUGGUACCCAUCCAUCAUGACGAACUGCAUGUCCUCUGAUGGUUUCCAGUGGCGUUUCCUUUGGUUUAUGAACCAGUUGUUGAUCUGCUUCAUGUCGAGUCCGGUGGAUUCCGCCAAUGCCGCCUUCUGCGCCUCCUGUUCAUGGUUAUACGAGCAGGUUCACCAUCGAUGUAGUGCUUUGGCUAGUUUUGAUGAUAGAGAGAAGAGUACUUACCGAGGGAUACGGCCAUUUAUAAUGCAACUCCCACCAGUUGAGCAGCUGCUGUCGAGCAUCCUUGGGAAGCUUCCCUUUCUUCUUUUUCUUGGAAAGCUCUUGUUUCAGGCUGCUCAGGUAUCCACCAUACUUCUUGAGGAGAUGGUGUUUCAGCUCUUGGUCCUCGGUGCAUGGAUCGAGCUCCAUGAUAUCCAUUUCUCCGCCGCUGCCUUCUUGGUUCUCUUCGACGGAGCAAACUCCAAACUUGUCAUCUAGCAUCAAAACAAGCAAAAAUGCAACCAUCCAUUUGUAAUUGUAGGCAUAACAAGACACUUCGCAUUCGCAGUCACCCUACCCGAAAUUAUAGUAUCGAUUAGGAUGGAUACAGCAUAAGAAAUAACCAGUAGAAACAAAUCACAUUCCGUCAAUCAUCCAUCAGCAAUACUCAUUCAAUUUUUUCAGUUCAUGUGCAAUGAGUGACACCAAAGUCUGAAAUUGAAAUAUGGAUCGACCACACUAAAACGCGAUACUUCAUGUCUCACCCUACCUAGAGAAAUAUAUUGGGCUUGUCUAUUACUCAUCCACAAGAUUAUGACAAAGAAAUUAGUACAAAAAACAAAUAAAUGCAGGACAAAUAAGAAAAGAUUGUUUCUAACAUCAUUGUGACAGGAACUCUAUCCUCUUUAGAAAAAUGACAAGUCAUGUGAGUUAGCAAAGAUCAAGUAAAAUCAUGUCAUUUUAUCGACAUGGGUGUUCUUUUGAAUUUACAACUCAAUAUUAUGAUAGCUGCAGUUGAAGUUCUAAUGAUAUCAUGAAUUAUCAAAAUCAAAAUUUCCAGUGGAACUAGAAUUUAAUAGUUUGUGCAUGUGAGAGGCUGCCAGAGAAUUUGAAAAGGAAUUCUCAACAUGACAGUCAUACAAGUUCGAUUCCGAGAAGUAUUCGCCAAAAAUUUCCAAUCAUGAUGAAGCUGAUCAAGCCUCAUUUUUCAGAUACCUAAUUUCAAUCAGAUUUUCAGUGAAGCAAACAGGCGUUUCAAGCCACUAAAAUCUCAUUUAAAUUUCAAAAAGAAAAAAAGGAAAAGAAAUAUUACAUGUUAACUAAUCAAGCACACUAAUCUACAUUAAUAUCAGCUUAAACAAAGGUGCAGAACUUUGAUCUUCUAUUGAAUAUGCAUUGCUGAGAUUGCUUAAGCAUAGCUAUCAUCCAUAGUAUGAGUUCACUCGGAUAACAUUUCCAUCUCAUGUCAGUGUCAGAACCAAUGGAUUAUCAGCACACAGCCAUCUAGAAAAUAGUUCCAUUCGGAUUUUCAUUACAUAUGUAAGAGAAAAAUGUUCUACUGUAGAUUAUGUAUAGAUCCACUAGAUGUUCUUGAGAACUCAAAACCUUGUUAGAUUUAUAGAAAUUUCACGUAAAAAUGCACACAAUUUAUAUACUUUGACCAAUUAAUAAUAUACAUCACACCCGGCAUGGCACCGCAGUGUGACAGAAGGAUUACGUGGGAGUUCUUGAGAGAAAUGGUAACAGCACUACAUCAAUCGUGAGACAUAGUUGCUACCUAGACUGACCACACCAGACAGAGACCGGGCACAAUAUUAGAUUCGAGCUCAGGAAAAUUGGGAGUGAUCCCUUGAUCGUUCUUGAGCUGAAGGGGAAUCAAGAUUUUGUCCAUGGAACCCUAAGAGAAAGCCCACGACAGCAUUCAAGAAGCUGUUCUUGUGGACUCCAAAUGCAUCUUUCGGUCGGGCUUCCUCGACUCCUCUCCAACUUUCUACUAGACUAUUAUGUCUUUAAGAAGCAUGCAAGUUAUGUGUGGAGGAAGAACGUGAGACGGCUACCAGCGUAGCAGCCUUGACGCAGAGCAGGAAAUGUGGGCACCUUAACUCUUCCAUCGAUUGGAUUAAUUAUACUGUUGUGCACAGUCAUGUGGAAGAAUAGAUAAUAGAGUAAAGGAAGAUAAAAAGACUGGAGACAGGCCAGAGGAGAUCUUUCAUUCAGACUUGCGGGAAAUAAGGGAUUCUCCUCGUAAAACCGCACGUACUUCGCCUCCUGACAUACGGCAGUGGCGCACCUCGGCAUUGCAGUGUUGAAAUCUACAGAAGACUGAAACCCUAAAACCAACUCUUUUCCCAUCUACUAUCUAUGUGGAGAAUGGUUUAUGAUGAGACAAUAUAGACUUAGUAUGUGAUUCCAUCUUGGAUUCUUAACCUGUCAUCUUUGCUUUUUCUGUAAUCUUCUUCUUCUUCCAAGGAAAGGUUUAAUCUGACUAUCGUUUUCAUCAGAAGGAAGGCUCAAUUACCAUUGGAUAUUAUGCGAAGGGAACCAGUGUUGUCCGAGAUGGAGUUGAGCUGAGACUCCAUUCUUCCAAGGAACUCCAUGGCCUCUUGCAGCGGCCUUGACAGCUCUUCUCUGUACUUGACGAGCAUAUCAUGGUACGCCUCCUGUCACAACUCGCCAAGCCAGAAAACAUACGUGACAUACUCGACAGAAAGAGACCAGCAAAUGUUCGGCUAUAAGCAAGGAAGAAGGUUAGAACCAUGAACUGGUCCAGCUCUGGGUCUGCUACCGCGUCGCGGCAGAUCAAACUCGCCCGCUGCCUCAUCUCAAACUCUUGGGCAACGGCCGAGAGCCGCGCAGCUACUUCAGGUGGCGCUCCCACCUGCAAACACGCAAGAGAAGUGUUAGCGGAAGGGAAGCUCGCGGUGAGAUAAAGCUCGGGCCAUCGAGAUGAUGAGUGCCUUUUGGCAUUCUAUGUAAGCAGAGACAAGGCUGGAGUACUGCGGAUGGGAGACGAUUUUAGCCUUGAUGGCGUCAACAUCGCCUUGUGGGAUUUGAGAAGUGGAAGCCACAUCGGGUUUUGCUUGGAGCAGGUUGGGGUUUUCGUGGUGGUCGCUGGGCAGAAAAGGGUUCGGAACGCAGUAUCUUCUAUCGAAGGCAGAAGCUGCUGUGGCAGUAGUUUGUUUGGCCGAUGAAGAAGGGGUGCACAUCAAGCCUCCCCAUGGAUUGCUUCCCAGCUGGGAGAACUCCUCCAUUCCAAGUAUCAGGCUUCCAAAAUGUUGGAAGAACUAAGAAGAAAAGCUAGAAAGUAGUACCCUAAGGGAGAUGAGAACACUGAGAACCUGGAAGAGGCCAAGGGAGGGAGAUGGGCUGGAAAGCAACACCGGGCGCACACAUGCACACACACACACACACACACACACAGAGGAAAGGUGAAUGCAAGUGUGGUGGUUUUCUUUUCGGACGUCAAAUCGUGCAGAUAGGGUUUAGCUUUGCAGUGGCGGUAGAAAGACUGGAGAUGCAAACUCAAACAUCAUGAGUUGAGUUACACUUUAUGGAUAAUGUUUUCCGUCCCCAGUAAUCCCCCCAAGAAACAUCUCCAUGAACUCGAUCAUAUAUCGACCCACAACACAGGUCUGUGAGAGACUCACGCAGAUCAACAAGGUUCUGCGAGAAGAACAGUAGAUGAUCCUUCAAUCAUAAAAAAAACACUCUAUUACAGUGGAAGCGUACAGCGACAGUGUGGAAACCAAACACACACCACAUGUUGAGAUGUGAUUGGAGCUCAUGGGCUGGUGGGGAUGCGUUGUCGAAGUACCGUGUGCUCUCUCUCACUCUCUCUCUGUGCAUGUUAUUAGCACUUCGAUCAGACCUGCAGAGAAGAGAGAGAGACCAAGAGGCAACACAUCUCUCUGUCUCUCUCUCUCUCUUUCUCCUGUCACACACAACCAUCCUGUUACUUGUUCUUUGUUGGGACGCGUGUUGUUACGUCCGCUGUAAAAUUGCCCUUUUCUCUGCCUUGGAAGUUGGAGAUGGAGGAGCUCAGUUGAACGAAAUCUCUUCUUCUCACAAAGUUAGCACUGAGACAGGUUAAUUAUUCUCUCCUCCUCCACCCGUACUACUAUUAUUUGACGUGACUUGUGCAGCUUACUAGUUUCAUUGCCAUUAACUCUUUAAUUGGCUGUGAACUAAAGGAAACAUCAGUUCAAGCGUUCAUGCAUCCCACCUAUCUCAGGGCUAGAGUUCUAAGACCUGUCUGUGUGCUUUGGUUGUGUUGUGUGCUUCCCACCGUCUCAUAACUCGGAACUUAGGUUAAGAAAAUAGUUGUCAGUCAGCAGAGGUAGGUGAUGAAGUAAGCCUAAAUGAGAUGAGAGGUAGGGAAUGAUAGGGAAUAAAGUAGACGGCAUGACGAUGGGAUAGAUGAAUAGUGGAUCAUAUAUAGUUGAUGUGUCUUUUGUUUACUACUUUCCCAUAGUCUUUUUAUUUUUGUCUGCUUAUGUAAAGUUUUGCAACGAAUCUUAUUUUUUUAAAUAUAUUUAUAUAUUUUAAAUAAAAAAACUAACUUUUUUAAAAUAAAAAAUAAUUAAUAUCAUUAAUAUCGAUUCUAAAUCGAGAUGAAAAAUAUAAAAAUUAUAUCAAUCUUAUGAAUAUAAAUAUUAAUUAAUAUAAAAAAUUAAAUAAUCGACAUCAAAUAAUUGAGACUUACGAAUUUAUUAUUCUUAUUGUAUUGUAGAAAUAAUAUAACUUUAAGUCAUUUGAAGAUAAAAUCAUAUAAAUUUGCCUAACAUCUUUGGAAAUUAGUUUUAGAAUGGGAUUUGAUAGUAGCUUGAAAUGAUAUUUAUUAGUAAUUUAACCACAUUAAAGGUUAUAAUUAUGCUAAGUUUGUUGUUUAUCAAUUAUUUUCUUAUUUCAUAAUUUGAAACCUUAAUAAUUAUUCUAUAUGAUUGCAUAAAAUUUUUAAUAAAUUUUGAAUUUUUAAAUCCUUUAGUUAGACUAUUUUUAAAUGGGAUUACAUUAUUUUUCAAUAAGAGGUUAAUAAAUAAUGUAAUCUGACUCAAGUCAUUUGAGGUUAACAUUAUCUAAAUUCAUCUUAAAUUGUUGAAAAUUAGUUGUGAAGUGAGAUUUGACAGUAUUGAAAUUUUUUGAAGAUCCAAAUGAUAUAUAUAUAUAUAUAUAAUCAUAUUAAAAUUAAAUUUAUACUCAAUUUGAUUUUUUUCAUCGAGUAGUCCUUUAUAAGCGGGUCCCAUAAGAACUCCAUUGCUGGAGGCACUCAUGACAAUGGUAAACAAGCGGGUUGGUGAUGAGCAGGUUGACAAGUAUUUGUUUGGGGCCCACCCAACGGGCCCUUACGAGCGCGAAGCACGUGCAGGAGUUUCUCUUUAGCACGAGCUGUUAUCCCGAGUGAAUUCAUACACCAAAGGAAAGGAAAAGGUUGGGGAAGAAGAAAAACCUCCUCCUCGUUGCUCAUUCAAUCGCGAAGGAUGUUGUCGAUACGCUUCGCGUCGCUUCGAGUCUCGGCGCUUCCGUCGGGGAGAUGGAAGAAGAAGAGGAGCGGGGGGAUCGUCCCGGCCAUUCUCGAGGCCAAUCGAAUGGUUCGCCUGGUCGCCCCUUGGCCAAUCCCCUUUUCCGCCAGCCAAGACUCUGCUCCGGUAUGCCAAAGGAGCCUUAUCCAGACAAACUGAGAAAACUUUCGUAAAUUCGAUGGGGUUUUUACUUUGUUUCUUCCUUUCCUUCUUUUUCCUUUUGCAGCUGGAUUACGAUCCGUCAAGGGAGCUGCUAGGGAUCGAUGUCGACCCGCAGCCAAGGUUCGACUGUAUUCUCUCUAGCUUUGCUGCUUUUCUUAAUUUUCUUGCGUGUUGAAUGAUUAAAAAAUUCGAUUUUUGAUAAAGUGAUGUGCGAUGAAAUGGAAAUCCUGUUGAACAGAAUAAUCAUCAUUGUAUGUGGUUAGUGGAAAUGUCCUCUUCGCGAGUGGUUUCGACUAAGCAUUUAUAUCAACAGUACGAAGAAUUUCCAAAUGAUGAUGCUUAAUACUCUUUACAAGGUUUAACGACUGUCCGGGAAAUGAAUGUGAUGCAGAACUGGGUGAACAUAAAAGUGUUCCGAUAAUGACGUAAUUGGGUAUUUUAACUUUGACAUUUGCUUCGCAUUUUAUGCAACCUAAGUACUGCAAAGCUGUAAUGAAAUAAUCAUGUUGUUAUGUGCAGAAAGUUUUUUGAUGAAAUUUCUUCAUCCUCCUAAGUUACUUAUUAGUCAUUAUAUUAUGUCUCAUGCUGAUAGAAGUUUCUUCAGGAGUGUCCAUUCUGGUGCACAAAAGCUAAGAUCCUGGUUUGGUCCAAAUGGCCAGUACAUCCGAGAGUUACCUUGUCCUAGUUGCAGGGGACGGGGUUAUACGCCAUGCACGGAAUGUGAUAUAGAGAGAUCAAGUUCAGGUUGCUCCCAGUGCAAUGGAAAGGUGUCUGCUCUUACUUGUUCCUUGCGUUGUGAGUUCUUUUGUUAACAUUAAAUCACUUCAAAUUGUAUGCACACUGCAGUAUUAAGUCUUAUUAAAUAUGAUCCAUAUACACACCAGCACCGUACGAUCGAUGUGCAGUAUUACGUACACUGACACAUCGAUCUAUUCUAUUAUCCACAGAGUCCAAAGUCCUUUGUUUAAACUAGUUUAAAAACUUUAAGAAUGUUGUGAUAUAGUUCGAUGGAACACAUUUCAGUUGCUAUAUGGAGACUUUUCCUGAUCUCACAUCUUCACAUUCUCCCUGACUUAAAGAGUCUCUCCAAAAGCUGUUCCUUUCCAUGCUGAUAGUGGUUGUAUAGGCACAUAUUAUGUACAUAGGUUUACUAUUUUCUGAUGGACAUGAGUUUUUUGAAAGCCAAUCUAGAUGUCACAAGCACUGACAGUAUUUUAGAUGACAACAGGGUAUUAGAAUCUGCCGACAGUGCUUUGGAGAUUGUGUUAUAUGGGAAGAGUCGAUUGAUGAGCGACCAUGGGAAAGAGCUCGAUCUAGGUAAGUCUCCAAGUUAUACCACUUAAUUUUGCCCAUGAAAUAUGUUUAUUUAAAUCAUUUUGUUGGUUUUUGCCAGUAGUUAGAUAUAUGUUGGAAGUUAUGGCGUUUAAGGCUCAUAUGUAACCAUAGGUGUGAAGGGGCUGCUAAAGAUUAGAAGUUCAUUAAAUAGAUACUUCAAAUGGACAUGAAUAUUUAAGGUUGUACAUGGUGGGGCUAUUCUAUAUUUGGUAUAUCUUGUGUGACUGUUGAUUUAGUGGUCUUACAACUGAACUUACAAGGUGCUCCGAACCAGUCUACGUUUGGUAGGUUAGUCAAGUGCAUUUCAAAGUGUACAACCUUGCAUCUGAAUCUGUGCAAUCUGUAAUAAUUUCUAUACUCUCCUUGAGUUUUCCAGUGGGGCUUGUCGCACAUUCUUGAUCUGUGUGGAAUUUAAUGUGCUCUUUUCUCAUAAGUUUAUCAACAAUCUAAUGGCAGUAAGUCUCUUACCUCUGUACGAGCAAACCAUUCUGAACCAUGCAUAUCUUAAUUGCAGCUCUCCUCUGAAAGUGAAGGAAGACGAUGAAGUUGACAAACUGGAUAUAAAGGUUGAUGUGUCCAGAAAAUCAAAGCGUACAUACCAAUCGCCAUCACCUGAAGUCAGCUUAAAGAUUAGCAGAUCAUUACGAGUUAGAUUCCCUUCUUAUGUUUAGUGCAGUGAUACUUAACUGCAUACAUACCAAUCGCUGCACCUGAAGUCAGCUUAAAGAUAAGCAGAUCAUUAUGAGUUAGAUUCCUUUCUUAUAUUUAGUGCUGUGGUAGUUAACCUAUCUUAUUUUGGAAAUUAACUUCCAUUUUGGUGUAACAUGGUCUUCACGUGACUCAUUUUAAAGGUUCUGCAUGUGCAAGCUUAUAAUUUCUUUAUGACCUGCAGUUUAUUAUGUUAUGUAAACAACCAAUCCUUGUAGUUUUAGAGUUACGCUCUUUCUGCUGCACUGUAAGUCUAGAUGUUUAUAGCUGCCCAGUUUUGCUAGAGCUUUGACUCGCUUCUUAUCUGUUUAUAUAUAUUGUAAUGUGUUAAAAUGCAAUAAUAGCUUUGUCAAGUUUGAAAAGGCAAGAAGAUAACAGACACUCAUUUCCAUUUCCAAAGAAUGAGGAAAAUAAAGACCUCUUAACAUGGAUAAUGUUUGUAAGGAGAAAUGCUUUUUCCACCCACUUUGUCAAAUAUUCAUCCUCUUGAUGUGAACAAGUAUCCUUCCCAACACUAUCCGACCCCUAUAAUGUUGACAACUUAUUUUCUUAAUACUGUUUCUUAUUAUUUUCUUAAUAAUGUUUCAUCAAUUAAUUAUGUGACAGUUGAUGAAUUUUCUUUCCUUGGACUAGCUAACAUUUAUUAUAUCCCUGGUUGAGCUACUUGGAUUGUUGUGUUUUUCGAGCUUUGAUGCAUGUGUUUCUUGUAAGCUUCAAUCCUCCUCUAGCUGUUGGUAUUGGAAUUUCUGUUAGUUAGGGUGCAGACACUUAUUUAGACAUGCAUGCUUUCUAAAUUUGAAUUGUCCAGUAAAGAUUAACAGUGAUCAAUGUGGAAAGGAACCACAUUGACGACCACAAAUAGUUGAGAACAAAAUAUCGGCAGCACAAAAGUUAUGAAAUUGAUGACCUAUUUAGGCUUACUAUAAACAUCUAGAUUUAGGGGCCUUUUUCAAAGAAGGAUCGAUGUUUGAGCAUGCUUAUUUUGACUAACUUGUGCUUGUUGCUUACCAUUUUCCAAUAUCCUAUGGUUGCAGAGCCUUAAUGCUAAAACAGGACUAUUUAGUAAUCGCAUGAAGAUUAUACAUCAAGAUCCUAUACUACGAGCUCAAAGGAUUGCUGCAAUUAAGGUAAUAGCUUAGGAUUGCCGCAAUUAAUGUAAUAGCUUGAAGUGUCACGUGAGACUUAUUCUAAAAGUAUGUGUGUUACAGUAAUGUUACCUGGGAUACCAUAUUCAUUUCCUUAUACAAUAAACAUGCUGAUUUUUCAGAAAACAAAAGGAACUCCUGAAGCACGGGAGCGGGCUUCUGAAGCAUCGAAAGCCUUCUUCCGUGAUCCGGAGAAUCGCCUCAAGAGAAGCAUAGCUAUGAAAGGUUCGUCCCCACAACAUAAAUCAUUCUAGAUCAAGCUUUCAUAAGUUUGUUUUACUGGUUAUGAGAUCUUAGUCGAAGCAACUUAAAUCCGGAAAUAGUACCAGAUCGUGUAGUCUCUCCCAUAUUUUCAUACCCUAUGAUAAAUCCUGUACCACUAAUCCACUUACAAGGUUUUGUUGAGAAGUGUGCUAGAAAUUGUGGGAUCUGAUGAUGGGUGUUCCAGUCACAAUGGCCUACUACAUGAACAGAUGGGACCUUGUCAACUCUAAACUCAAACUGCCUUUUGGCUGGUACUGCAUAAACCCCCUUAGAUCUCAACUCCUGUGUUCCAUACAAAAUGGUAAUGAUUUAGUGCCAUCUCCAACAAUAAUAAUUGGAAAGGAGCAACAAUAAUCAGGAUUUACUGGUAUAAAAUUACGAGUAAUAGCGAGAUAAGUGGGAAAUGGGGGUUGGAACUUGCAGUCUAGUGUAGGUUCCAGAUGACACUAGAAUAAGUGAUGGGGUGAAGAGGAAAGAUAAUAUGAUAAAAUAAAAGCUUAUUACAUGCAUGUUCUUGAUGCAGCAGCAGCUUUUGGGCACCAUAGACUACCUUACCACAACACUGGUGCAUCAAAAGUCAGAUCAGGGCAAGAAAAUGUUUAUUAAAUUGUUUGUUUCGGAGCAGCUCUCCCUAAAAACAUUCCAAUUUUAGGAGCUGAUUAGUACUAUUUUCAUUAUCUCGGAAAUUGCUAAUUUGUGACACAGACAACUAGAGGAAAGAGCGAGCAGUGGGCAAAACUUGAACAAACCUUUACUUCCAAAUUUGUUCAGAAAUUGCUGCAAUAAGAGUCCUUCCUAUGGAUUCUUUCUUAGCUUUAUGAACCUAUCAUAUGAUGUUUUGUUGAAUGUUUCCUUUAUGUUCCACAGGAGUAAAAUUUUACUGCAGCAUCUGUGGGGAGGAAGGGCAUCGGAGACACUACUGCUCAACUCUAAGGGAGACUUCUGCUCCGAUACGUUUCAGAUGUCGCAAAUGUGGGAAAUUGGGGCACAAUCGACGGACUUGUGGCAAAUCGAAAUCAGACAGAAAACCACAAAAAGGGAGCCAGAGUGCGUCGCGCCAUUGCAGUUUGUGUGGCCAAAACGGGCAUAAUCGUAGAACGUGCACCGAAUUGAAUCAGCCAGGAUUAGGCAACUCAUCAUGCACUGAAACCCCACUGAUUUCUGUCACCAAAAGAACUUACUCAUGCAGGUUGUGUUUGGAAAAAGGGCACAAUAGCAGGUCAUGCUCGAAAAGAGAGGCCAUUUAGGAGGCGCAUUGCUUGCAGUCUGUGCCAUUCAAGUUUCUUGCUACCUUCCAAUUGAGAAACCGUAAGUUUCCUCGUUUCUCUGCUCAACCAUCAUUAAGAUCACUCUCACAUUGCAAAGCUUACAUGCUUUUCUAAUAUCCCAAUUAGUAGCUCAGCAUCAUCUCACCUAUUGUUGUUGCCUUCUCCAACACAGGCACAAUGCUUGAUGGAAUCGAGCUAUCGAACAUCAACAUGACUUGGACGUGUCAAUGCUGCCCACCACUUGUAUAAACGUUGGAGGAGUAAAUGUUUAGUAGCGGAGUUGGUGCUACAUGCUUUAUGCUAACAUGGGAUUAGUUGAUCACCACCUACUAAAUGCUGGCGUUGGAGAGUCUUCGUCCAAAUUUUACACAGGUCUCAAUCCUUACCUUAUCAAGUUUAGCACAUAAAGGAUUAUGAAUCCGAACCAUGUAACAGCAUAAGAAUAAUAGAGAACAAGAAACAUGAUCUAAAGCCCAAAUUUGCGCUCUAUGAUGGCAGUGUUCAUCUUUUAUUACCAUGAAGUCGAGACGAAUGUGUUGGGGAGAAGAACGAAGGUGAAAUGGAUUGAUUGCGGCGUUACGGAGGCGCCGGAGAAGGUGCAGAAUGAGUGCGCGUCGGAGCUUCAUUGGGACGCCUUUCUGGCCAUCUUCAAUUCAGCUUCGUGUUGGUUUCGUCGCCUCCGCCGCUCCUUCUCACGUAUGGAGUUCUGCUUCUCGAGCUUCCAAUUUGCAUGGAACUGAGCGAUGAAGAGGUCCGCCUUGUUGUUCACGUCGGGGCUCGGGCAGAACACCGACACCCCGUCCCUUGAUUCUCUUUGCCGAAACCUCACCGUCUCUCCCCUAAGGGGAGAGGAAGGCGGGGACGGGUACUUUGAAAGGCUGGACUUUUCUGGUCGUCUCGAAGAUGAAGGCAGGGGAGGCGGUGGCGGUGGCGGUGGGGGAGGGGGAGGGUGUAAAACUUGCUUCCUAUGGUGUUGUGUUAGCGCGGGUGGUAGUGGAGGCGGUGGCGGUGGUGGAGAAGUUGCUGGGACUGAGUGGAUCCUCCCGUUCUUGCCUCCCAGUUUCUUGCGGGAGAAAAGCUGGUUGAAGAACGCAGAAGGCAGCGGAGGGGGUGGAGGUGGCGGCGGAGGAGCGGAAGAAGCCACGACUUCGUAUUGCAGGGUUGUAUCAUUGGGAGACCUCUUCGUCUUGCUCCCUCUCUUCUUCUUCUGAUAGGACAAAGCGACAGUUGUCUCGAUGUCCUUCGCCCCAGCAGUGCUCCACUUAUUAUGACUAAUUAUCUCCUCCGGCGGCAGCGACCGUACCGGCUGAGGUGGUGGGGGUGGCGCUGGCGGUGGUGUCUGAGGCUUCUCGAGUGGGAAGUCAGGAUCUUGGUCCACCUCCCAUUUUGGAAUAUUCCCGACGCUCCCUCUCCGACGCUGCGAGGUUUCCGACGCUGGUAACGACAGGUGAGACUUCAUCGCGAACUCUGCAAUCUGUCUCAUUUCCCCGGCCGGAAACUUCUCCAUGGUCUUCCUCCUGCUCGGCUGGGGCGGCAUCGGUGGCGGCGGCGGUAACGACCGUGGAUGAAGAUUCUCCGAACUAAAGAUCUCAUCUUUGUCCACUUCCUUGUCCUCUUGUAACUUAUCGACGUCGUUCCUCCUCCCAGGCUGGCGCUGCGACGGAGGCGGUGACUGUGGAUGGGGCUUUUCUGAUCGAAAGAUCUCAGCCUUGUCCGCCUCCCUUCCUGGAAGCCCAUCUACCGCUCUCUUCCCCGGACGCCGCCGCGGUGGUGGCGACGGCGGACUCGGCGGAGAUCUAGAUCUUGUAGAGGAGCUCUGUCGAAGAACGAACGUGACCACCGGAAUCGUCUUCGGGUCCAGAUACCCAAACCUCUGCCUCUCGCACCCCUCCGACUCUGACCUCCGGCGACAAAGAUGGGCAUCAUCGUAGCAACGCCACCCAUCAUUGGAGGCGGCGCCAAAUGUCGCUACUUCCGCCCUCAGAUCGCCGUAGGAGCUGCUGCUCCGCAUCACACGAAUACCCACCGUGGGGGCGGCCUCCUGAAGAGACUUCUCAGCGUCGUCGUCGCCGCCAGAGCGGCGGCCGAGGAGGCCGCAGAGAAUGGCGAAGAGGACGAGAAGUAGGUUGAGGGUAUCCCAUCCGUUCCUUACCACAAUGAUCCGGGAGCCACGGAACGAGGAAGAGAGGGAGCGAGGAGGGAGGAAUAGGAGCACCAACACGGAGAAGAGCAGAACAAGAACAACCCAUACCCGAAUUCCAGCAACAGCAGCAGAAGCUUCUCUUUCCCUUACCAUUUGGGAGCGAGGAAGGACAAAAAGAUAAGCCUUUUGCUUUCUUCUCUUUCUCUUACCUCCUCUGCUGCUUUUAUACACGUGAGAGGUUGGGAUGAUGUGGUUCUUUAACUUGAAAGCAAAUUACCCGACGAUUGUGGGAAAUAUAAUAUACCAUCAGCUUUUUCAUCCUGCAAGCAGAUUCUUUUUGGAUCCAUCUAUCAGCUUAAAGCUUGUAAGCUUUGACUUGACGUGUGCUUUGGAGUUGCAGGAAAUGAGAGAGAGAAGUGAUGACGCUACCGUGGUCGUUCUUAAGCUUUCCCCCUUGCUUGCUUCUGCUGGAUUCCAGAGGGAAGUCGACAUACUUUGUUCUCGUACUUUUGCUUUGUCGUCCACGGGAAAGCAGGCAACGCCUUCGACCACACCGGUGAUCGCAGUCAUGGCGUGACUUAGCUCAAAAGAAACAGCUCUUAGGGGAGAUGCGAUUUAGCUCGAGUUUAUUGUUGUGAGAGAGGAGACCAUUCACUGACUCUGAUGAAUGCUUGGGGGAUGGCUGUUUUAGGCUGUGCGAGAAAGCUUGCACGAGAGGAAUAGUAAAAGAUCGCAGUCGAAGGGAACAGAGAGAGAGAGAGAGAGAAGAAAUGGGGCCGGAGUUGGAGGUGUGCCUGACCUGCACAGCACUGUGAAGCUGUGGUCAUAACUUCUACUAAUCAUUGACGAAAGAAUUCAUUUUAUUGGAUUCAUUUGGUAUACACUGACUUUCGAACUAAUUAUUUACAAAUAUUUUUUUCCUAAUGCUUAGAUAUAAUUAAGGAUAAAUAUCUAAAAAAAUUUUGUUUUUAUUUUUUUUUUCAUGCAGUGUCUCUUAUUUUCUAAAAACAAGAUUACCCUAGUCUUCAUCUCGCUUGUUGUCGCCUUUAUCCCGUCAGCUCGUUAUUGUGUCUGUAUUUAUUAGAACUCUCCUGGUUGUAAAAUUAUUGUAUCGAUUGCCAAUGGUUGAAAUUGCACACUUGUAAAAUUACCCUAGUCUUCAUGUAGUGCUUUUAUUGUCUUCGUCCUAUCGUCGUGCCCCUGUCUACUAGGACUCUAUCUACUUUAGCCCUUUGAUUAGGGGAGCUAUAAUAACUCAGAGGAGGCAUGGGCAAUGCUUGACGCAAUGGAUCAUGCAAGGGAGGGAAAGUUUAAUCAUAGUAGCCCCGUUCCCUUUUGAUAAGGUCGACGACAAAGAUGAUAGGGUGAAGGCAAAGUUUUAGCAAUGCUUCAACAACUAUGAAGGACGACAAGAGUAGCAAAUAAGAAUGAUGACAUAAUCGAUCGUUGACAUCGAGACGGAGGUCAACGGGACGAAGCCUAGGGGUAAUCUUUUCUUUAAGUAAAUUAUAGGCAUUGUACAAGAAUAAAACAAAAUCAGGUAAUCUACUGGAAAUUUAUUUUUUUGAAGUUUUUUCUUUUGAAAUUUGCCCUAUAAUUUAUUAUGUAUAAAGGUAUAUUUAUACCUAGUAGUACAAGAUUACAUAUCCUUGCCCAACACUAGUCCUUCUAACCUGACCGACGACCUUAUAGUACGUAGUUUAUUAGCUAAAUGUGAUAGUAAUCACAUCAAAUACUUGUGUAGAUCUUCAUAAUUGUUGACACACAGCGAGUCAAAUUAUAUAGUGAUAUCAUGUCUUAAAUUUUGUGCCAUAAGAUAUUCAAAUUCAGAUUUAAUUUGCAAUUUAACUUACAAAACAUAGCAUACAUUAUCUCAUAUCAUAAAUCUUGUACCGUACUACUACUGUCUUCUUGUAUCGAAUGAUAAGUAGCUAUUAGUUCGAUUAGGAAAUCAAGUAAAUGGGGCUGAUAAAUGUAUAACAAGCAUUUAAAGUGUAUCAGCGUCCGACCUCCAUAUAUCAUAAAUUUCAUCAAUUUCACUAAGACCGGUGACGAGUGAUGAAGUGGACGAUGUUUUGGUUAGCUCGACAUGGUUCAGAUAUGUAUGUGCAAGGUUGUUCAAGGUGCAUCUAAGAUGAAAACUUCGAGCUCCCAAGGUACCACCUACAUGAAGACUGAGGUGAGGAGAAAUUUCUCAACUUGAUCCCCCUAACGCCCAAGUUAAUAACUCAUGGUGUAUGAGUGCGGAGGCAAGUAGUCAAAAAAGGCAAAGCUCCUUUUCAUUGUGUUGGAGAUGAGCUUUUAUACCUGAUCAUAAAUUGAUAGAAUAUUUGAUGAAAUAUUCUAGAGGGAGGUAACGUUUAACCACCUCCAAUAGUCUCCUCUUGACCUCUUGUCCAUGUGGUCGAUGGGGGGAUUGCAACCCAUAAUUGUCGCUUGCCCACGUGGAUAGACGAGUGGAAGGUGACAUUGUCUUCUCCUUCUAUCCUGGACACUACAUAAUAUUUAUGUAUUAGAUGACGAUUAGCUGACGAUAUAAUCCCUAUCAUUUGUCUCACCACCCAAAGGCAUGGUUUGGGGCUCUUGCUAGAGGGGUCCAACGUGCUGUCAUGGGCAAAAUUGUAAAUGAGAUUUUCGACGUAAUGCUAUGUAUGUCCGUGUCUUUUGGUUUGUUCAUACUUUGCAUAGCAUGCAAAGGGCUGGCAGUAGGCUUAGCAGCCUCAUUUUCUUUCGAUAUAUAGUGGACCAUUUUGGAUCAUUUGUUAUGCGACCGUUCAGAGCUUAUGAAGUUUGUUUGUAGUUUGUAUUGAUUAUGAAGUAUUUCCUGAAAUGAUUACUUGUGGAUCCCGAGUGAGAUAUUUUCUCUAACCCGUUUUCUCUUUUAUAGAUCCUAAGGGACCAUAGGAGGUUUCAAGGAGGUUGACCUUUACAGACGGACACGCAAGGGUGCCGCAUGACUUAUACAAAACCAGCUAAGUCUGUGAUAAUGCGACGUCUAAUUCAUCUGACAUAUCAAACUCAUACCUCUUCGAUCCAUUACCAACCUUGUGGCAUGUUUAGUUUGUCCAGUAUGUUUACUCUAUCGUGCACCUCACAUCAUUUGAAAUGAGUUCAUUUGGCAUGUUCAUCCAGGAUCACCUCCUCCUAUGUUGCUAAUGGCAAUCCAUUAUUAACUUGCUCCUUGUAUCAUCGAGGGAUGCACAUUGGUUGAACAAAGUCGAGUUUUUCAACCUCCAUGCCUUAGGGAGAGGAGGGGGUCGAACUUCUUGACCUUCACACCUUGAGCACAUUUUGUUUUGUGCUUGCCAUGAUAACGAGUUCAUUUUGUGCGGGUUAGGAUUUCCCGACUCAUGCACCUUGGGUAUAUUUUGUCUUAUGCCUCCUGAUGUGGUAGGUUUCUUCGAACGCAGGUCGGGCUUUCCCAACUCAUGCUUUUCGAGUACAUUUUGUCUUGUACCUCCUGCCAUAGAGGUUUAUUCGGACAUGAGACGAGCAAGUGGCUCAGGAUCAUCCCAAGAGGUGAGAGGCCCGGGUUGUUGAAUAAAUGCUAGUAUUGCAUUGAUGUUUUCAUGUCGAGGUGGAUGCAUUCAUGUGCGGAAAGGGUGACUGUUGCCUCUCUUGAGUGAAAGUACUAUGAUUUUAGGGUAAAGUUACCUUACUCGAGCAUUCAUUUAGAUGGUCAGUGGGUCGACGUUCCUAUGAUAUUAUGCACUUCUUCUAGUAUCAAAAUGAUGAGGGAAGAAGUCGUUGACAUCUUGGUCAACUUGACGUGAUGUAAACCUAUAUGUGUAGGGUUGUUUGAUGUGCUUCUAAGAAAGAAACAUCAAACUCCUAAGGUGUCACUUAUAUGAAGUCCAAGGUCAAGAGAGAUUUUUCAACAUGAUUUCUUUGAUGCUCAAGUUAGUAAUCCGAGGUGUAUAAGUGCGUAUGUGAGUAGUCAAAAAAGAUAAGCCCCCUUUUCAUUGUGUAGAAGAUAAGCUUUUAUACCUAGCUAUAAAGGGAUAUGAAAUAUUGUGUGACCUCCGAUAACUUUUCAUUGACCUCUUAUCCACGUUAUUGAUAAGGGAGAGAUAACUCAUAACCAUCUUUCUUAAACCUUUGCUCACAUGGACAACGAAUGGAAUGUAACAUUAUAUUUUCCUUCCACCCCAGACAUCAUGUGGAUUGUGUGGAAUGAUUAUUAAUCGAUGAUUUACUUCCAAUCAAUUAAAAUACUUGUGAACUCUUAGAUGGGAUCGGAGAGGAUUGUGUCAAAGAAUAAAAGCGGAGAUCUAACCCAAUGAAAUUACACGUGACAGUGGAAAUUGUAAUGAAAAAUUUCAUGUGAAGUGUACUAUCGAAUUCUGGUCAAAGUCAACAACGCCGAUGAAUUCCUUCCUACAUCCACGGAGACAACGGCCGUGAGCGACUUGGGUAACGACCCAAGACGCGGCUCGCUCGCCGGCACCGCCCACGUGGUCGUAAUUACGUGUGUCACACCAGCAAAUCGAGGGUUAGAAUGCCAUUGACCGACUUAAGUCUUGACGACGCAGCAGCAGUCGAAGCAUCCACCGAUCACAUCCUUCCGACGUGGGUUCCAUGGCGGUCGGUCGUGCGUCGGUCUCCUCUUCUUCCUCCGGGGGUCAAAUACCGUUUGCUAGCUACUCCGACUGCCAUGAACCGAGGGGCUCCACAUCACGCUCGCCCACCGUUUGGUUCCUUCUCUCUCUCUCUCUCUCACAGUCUCUUGCAUUUAGUGUUGUCCUUCUUUGAUGCAGCUAACAUUGCAGCUUUUAAUGAAAGCAUUAAAUGCGUUCAACUCAUCCAUAACAUAGUUCUAAACAAGGUUUCUGUUGGUGCACAUGCAUCCUCUACUUAUAUUAAUCACAUUAUCCCACUGCUUAAUCUUUCUUCAGUACAACACUCCCGAAAGCUGCAAUAAAGAACUCUCUGGCGAUGGGGUGAGUCUGAUCUUUGGAUUCAGAAACCAGCAUGCGCGCACUGUAAAACCCAUCGGAAAACACUGUAAAACAAGCGACUACCAAACACCAAAACCAUCGACUGCUUCGCUUAUACAUAGGCAUCCCCAUCCCCAGCUUGAUUCAGUCUUCUGCCAACCUUCUUUCUGCUCUUCCAAGUUAGCUAAGGAGAAGAAAAGAGACAUGAGCACGGUCACUCGUGCAGCUCUGGAUCAGAAGCUGGCCAUGGCCAAGCUCUGUUCCCACGGUAUCUAUAUUGUUACCAUUGCUAUUGCUUGAUCAACAACAAAGAUAAAGAAGACCAUUACGCUUCUUGCAAGCCCGCCUGACAUAUGGUUGUUGUUUGUCAUCUUCCUUGGAAUAACUGGCAGAGGGAGUGGUUGCCGGAGCGAAGGCCGCCGUCGUCGCAACUGUGGCAGCUGCCAUCCCCACUGUAAGCCUCCUCUUCUCUACUUCAUGUUCGACUGUGUUCGGCCAUCGGUCGAUGAACUCGGCUUCAUACAUCGUAGUUGGCUAGCUUUAAGAUUCUCCCAUGGGCGAGAUCCAACCUUAAUCCCACUGCCCAAGCCCUCAUCAUCUCCACAGGUUCUCGACACACUGCCUCUAGUUUGGAUGCUUUCUUCUUGCUGUUUUGCCUAUGGCUAAACUGCAGUCGCAGGAGCUGCCUACUUCAUAGUUGCGGACAAGACGGUGUUGGCAUCAGCCAGGAAGAACUCCUUCGAGGGAGGCAACAUUAACGUGCCCAAGAACCCAUAAUUUGGGAGAGUGUCACCACAUGUUAUUGGUAAAUAGUGAAUCGAUGCCUGUUAAUGGCAGUUCUCUGCCCAUCAGCACUUCAUUUGCAGCAGUGUUCAUAAACACGCCUGCAUCAAAACUAUUCACACUUGUCCAAUCUUGUAUCCUGCACUCGGGACACAUUCUGCAAGCAAUGCAUAUUAUUUUGUGUGACAUCGAUCGAUAAUAGUUGCUCAUGACACUCAAGUACACGUAUGCUUCCAACUAUGUGCAAGAAAAAUUCAAGAUACCUUGAAACCACUUUGUACAGACUCUGCACCAUAAAAUACUAUACGUACAUUCGCAGUAUGCUAAUUGACUUCAGCUACAAAUUUCCCACGCCACUAUACAUGAUAGAAGUCGUUUGCUGGUAGGCCAGUGUUGAUUGUCUCCUAUAAUGAGAGGUUUGUUCCAAUGUCUAUAUAUCCAAUCCGAGGAGCAACAGUGUAAAGUCCCGUUCAAUCUUGGAUGAUGUUGAAGGAGAACUUUGACAGUAAUUGUGGUAUACCAGAUAUAAUCGGGCCAUAUGUCUGCAAAAUUGUGGAAAGAAGAAUCACUGACCAAUAUCACUCGGCACCCAAAUUUUCCAGUGCGUGCAAAAUUUGCAGAAUAGAAUGUUUUCUUCAUACCUCGCUAUUGUCAUGUAAUUGGCACAACGGGACGGCAAGCAGCUUCAGGUUUCUUGGUACGAUAAAAUGCCGUGUCAUUGGCAGCUUAACCAGGAAAAGCUUUGUGCAUUCCUGUAGAGGGAAAGAACCACAAAACAAAAGUAAUAAACAUGGUUUAUAUACAACAGAGCAACAUGAGAUGGUGCACACCUUCGGUCGACGCAAAUUAGGAGGCAAAUAUGGGAACCGUAACGUUUCAAAGUCUGACCUCCACCACAUCCCGAUAAGCUCGUCUAUCUGAUGAGAAAUACUGAGAAGAAUAAGAAGUUUGACAGCCAAAAGCAAAUAGACCAUAUACCAAUCAGCAUCUAAUGUGAAUUGCAAGACCAAAACAAUGCAAGGUAACCUGCCAGUCAUCAUUCGUGCCAUUUUCUUCACUGGAGAGCUUUCUUGAUAGCUUGCGUUUUAGACCUUCAACAUCUAAAGAAAAUCACAUAUCAAUCUUCCUCGGUAUCAAUCUUAUCAACAAACUGAACUGGAAGAUUCAUUUUGAUAAAUGUCGACAGAGGCAUCUAACUAAACUACAUUGCUGCAGGUUCUAGAAAAGGUAUACACAAUCUCCGGAUUAACAGCAUUUGAAUCCAUCAUACGCUAACUGUUUGGUAUUUAGAAUUCGGAUGCUUUUGGGAGCAGUCUAAGAUGAACAUGGAUGGUUGCUUUCCAAACCAAUAAUCUUGAGGACAUAACUACAUUAUUAUUGGCCAAAGAUAACCAGGUCAUAAAGCAUCAACUGUUGGUCAACGGCUGCUCCCUUUGGACGAAGGACUAAAUGCAUUAACUAGAAGAAGAUUGUAUUACAUAGGACAGAUAAAAUUAAAAUUAAACUUAAUGUAUCGAGAUAUGACAUGAAUUGAUCUAAAGGCAUCCGGUGUGAGAUGAAAGAAAAGCUUUGGAACAAGUACGACAAACCUGAUUCACCAGAUCGAAGACGACCUCCUGGUAGCUUAAAGAAAGAGUUUCUCACUUGCAGUAAUAGCACAUGAGGGUGUUGAAACAAUUCGACCUGCUUCAGCAGACUCUUAGACCCUUGUAAUGAAACACAUACCGCAGAAUUCGUAGCAAGAGCUCGGUCUGCUCAACGGAAAGCUAAAAGCUACAGCUAAAUGACGAUGGAUCACAAAAUUAAGAUGAAAGAAUAAUCAUAGUGCAAAGUUAACCAUAUUAACGGUGGCAAUGUAAACAAGUGCAGUUUACAUCUCAUAUACGCACUGAUGAUCACAGAGAUAUUUCAUUACGAAGAUAAAGCAAACUGCAUUAGUACUGGAGUGAAAUGUCAGCAUUAACAACAAUCUACCAUGUAAAUGUCAGACUGAAACCAAGAAAACAUUUCCACAAAAAAUUAGAACAGAAAUCCAGGCAUAAUAAUCAGCUAUUAAUCACAGGCAGAUGGAAUGUCAUGUCGGGAAACAACAAAAGAGUUUGUGAAUCUUCAUAUCCAUCUAACCAUCUAAUUAAAUUUCAUAACCCCUUAACCCAAAAUAACAAAUAAAUAAAUAAACAAAAAAAAAGAGAAAUUUUUUUCUUCAGCUUGUAGCAGUCCCCUGUUACUUGUAGAACCAUUUUGAUAGGAAGCAUGUUAGCUUGAUCGAAUAGCUUAAUCAAACCCUAACAAAAAAAAAAUCCCUUUCUUUUCUUUUUGUUCAUGUGUGUGUUUAUUCAGGUGUUCAAAGAUCAAAUUCCAAGACCCUUUUCCUUUCUAAGCAGAGAACAAAAGGAUAAAGAAUGAAUAAAGGCGCAUGUAACUCAGUAAUCGAUUCCACACAACUACAGGAUGUCUCAAGAUACGAGGAAGGGCGACAAGGGAAAGAACCGACCAGAAGGAUCCCGUGGACGCAAGUCCUCAUCCCACGAGCCGCGUAACUGCGAGAAACCCACCAAGUGUUUGUAUUUAUGCCGUAAAGAAAAAUAAUACAUCAAAUCGAUUCACAAUACGACCGCAAAAGAGAGACAGACUAGAUUAUCUCACAUACUUAGCUUUCAUCCGCUGGAUUCGGUCGGCCAGGCAGUCGUCCUUGUCAGGGAUGGCGUCUUUAGAACCGAAGAAGUAACGACUCAAGGGAUAUAUCUCCACCACGUUGCUUCCACCGCCGCCGUCGCCGCUGUCGUUGCAGUGGAACGUCUCACCGUUUUCCAUGGUGAAUCUCCUGGGCGACAGAGCAAGCCUGAGAAGAGAUGCUAUGGGGGAAGGGGCAGCAAUGUGGCGCGAACCUUCAGUCGUCUUCCGAGGACACUAAUCCACAAUAAUAAUUUAGGUAAUGCCGUGUGUGGAGCUGUCCACGGAAUUCCUUAAGAAAACCAACGGUGAUCGACAGCACCGGACAUCCCUUUGCUUUCUUGUUCUUAUUGGCUCCGUGUGGCACGCGUGUCCGAACCAAAACAACUGAUCCGUUAGAACAUAGAGGGUUCGUUCAGUGCGCCCCCACACGCGUCUUCCUGCAGACACGCGACGACUUCGCCCAAAGCCGUUUCCACUCUGGUCCGCGACCCAACCACAGUGAUAGAUUAAUUCGGUCAGUAAAUUAAGUAUAAUUCAGAUAUCGUCGUUACUAUUAUUGUCAUGCAAAAUGUAAUAAUCGGAGAACAAAUAAAAAAAAAAGCUAAAACUAUAGCCAUAAAAAUCGAACCUAAUUAUCAAACUCAAAAAAUCAGAAAUCGAACCGUUAACCGGUCCAAUUUACCCGUUAAAACAUCUAAUUUAAGCCGUCGAUCUGAUUUUGUAAAUAUAGUUAAGAUUACUUAAAUAUCUUGGAUUUAAUUUUUAUAUUAUCUGUUCAAGAAGGAAGUAUUAUAACACUUGGAACAAAUUCAUAGCUACGAUUGCCAUGGCAAAGUCCACCAUAAAUAAUCCUUUAUAAUUUGCAACAUAGAUAAGCUUUGUCCUACUUCUGAAGAAUCCCUUUUGAUAACAUCAAUCAGCAAGAAUCCUGACAAGAAAACAUAAUUUGCAACCGAAAGCUGUGAAGUUUACUGUUAAGUGUUUGAGCCUAUCUCAUGAAAAAUGAAAUUACAAGAUUCUGACCACCUUCAUUAGAGAUAUGAACAUGGCAAUGUUGUAUAUAGUAUGUGUAAGUGUACAUUCCUUUAAGCCCAGAAAUAAAGAGAUGGGCUAACUCAUGUGUCUAAGUCUAAAUAGCCACCUAGAACUCAAGUUCUCAUGUACAUGGUUCUAUGGGGAAGUCCAACUUACCACCAUGACUAUUUGUUUUUGAACUUUCGUUGUGCUUUUAGAUCCACCACGAUGAUGGUGAUGUUGUCCUUGCUUCCUUUCUUGAGAGCAAGCUUUGACAGGCAGUCUGCAGCAGCUUGAGCUGCAGGAUCAGCUUGUUUACCCCUUGGAGUGGAUGGUGGCACAGGACCAUUCUUUUUGUGCCAGAGCAAGAUCCGCCUGCGGGCUACAUCGCACACCUCUUCGUUAGACAUGACAUCCCACAAGCCAUCGCUAGCAACAAUAAGACAUUCAUCCUCUCUUGCACGUUGGACAAAUGUAAUUUCUGGCUCUGGAAUGAUCCAUGGCUUCAGGUACCGAUCCCCUGCAUACGGCAGAUCAAUUAGUCACUGUUUUCGGGCUUUUAAUCUAUGCAUGUAAGAAAUAAGAGGACCAGACUCGUGGAUGCUCUUAGAUAAUUCCUAUGCCUACAAUAACAAGUUUAGUAAUUCUAUGAACCAGUGUUCGACAGCCCAAGUGCAGAUUUCCUUCUCAAGCGAAAGAUAUACAUCACAAUAUCUGAUCAUGUUUGUGAUAUGAAUGUUAUUCGUAAUAUACUGUACUGAAACAUCACAACCACACCUCAGAGAUCAGUAUAUCUGUCACCAAUCCAUAAACUAGUACUUUAGAAUUUUAGCACAAAUUCUAUUCCAAGAUGCUUUGAGUUAACUGAACAAAGAAAACAUAACUGAAACUGCAAAAUAUAGUAGCCCCGUUAUUGGAUCGCCCCAUUAUCAACAAUUUUAGCAUGAGAUAUACAUAAAAAAUAAUUGAUGGCAGUUUUCAGCACAGGUAAGAAUACUUCAGACUGAUAUGGAAGUGUUGGUCUUACAGAACCACCAAGUUCUAACAUCACCAGGAAGCCAUUUCAAGCCACAUGAGCCUGCAUGCUCUAGGGAAACAUUGAUCAAGUGAACAUGCACAUUGUUUGUCACACUCCAUACACACAAAAUCACAGCAUUGGAAAAUGGGCAAGAGGGAAGUUUAUGUAUCAUGCAUGACAAGGUUUUUUACUUCAAGGAAGAAACAAAUGAAAAAAUACAAUCUAUGGAAUCCAGUGCCCUAUAAGUUAGGAUGAUUUUUAUGUUAUUUAAAAAUGACAAAAAAAUCAAAUUUCAUUCAUGCAUAAAGAUGACUAGGUAUUUUGCUACCUAGUAGUAUUGUGAGGUUAGAAAAUGAACAUAUGCAUAGUUUAGGACCACUGAAAAGCUCACAACAAAGUAUAAGGGUGUUCACGUUAUAUGGCAUUUUUGCCUAUUUUUCCUAGGUUAAGUCCAACAUAAUGCACAGAUUGUUCAUGAUAUUUGUUCUCACAAUACAGAAAUUGCAGAUGUACCCUCCUCCUCAAAAUAGACAAAAUUAACUCUUGUUUUUCAGUGACCACCUAUCUCUCUCACUAUAUAUAUAUUUGUAUAUAUAUAUACAUAUACAUAUAUACAUGUAUAUGUGUAUAUAUACAUAUACAUAUACAUAUACAUAUAUACAUAUACAUAUAUACAUAUACAUACAUACAUAUAUAUGUAUAUAUAUAUAUAUGUAUAUAUAUAUAUAUGUAUAUAUAUGUAUAUGUGUGUAUAUAUAUGCACACACACACACACACAUUCACCAACUUUGGCAAUAGCUCCUAUAUAAUACAAUGAAUCAACAAGCUAUUCAUUAGGCUUGUUCAGCUUUCAAUGUUUGAAGCUGAUGUUUUGUUAUGGGCAUCCCAAUGCAUUUGAACUGUCAUAAAGUUUGACAAAAACAAGCAUGAUCAUCCACACUGUGCAAAUAGAACAAUCCAAUUAUUACAGAAUGGUAAACUUAAUGAGUUAACUCCACUGCUAGUAACAGAUUUAUAAGAGAGAAAGAUAAAUACCAAUUGAACGUGACAUGGCAAGAACACCAAAUACACGAUAUCCAUUCCACUGUAUGACCUUACCACCCUGAGCCUCGAUCCUUGUAUACUCAUCUUCCCUGUUAGGCUAAAGAAUAAAGUAGAAAAUUGGCUUGUAGUAGAAUAAAUUUUAAAUGUAAUCUUGGAGAUCCAUAGUAUUAAAGUUUAAAACAUAAUCUUACUUUAUGAUCCACUGAUAGAGGCAUUGGUUGUUUGCCACGGCAAAGUACUGCCCUUGAAUCCCCACAGUUUGCAAUGAUAAUGUGCGAUGAGGAGAUAACAGCAACCACAGCUGUCGAUCCUACAGUGUCUGGGGCAACAGGUUCUAAUGGUACAUUAGGACAAGGCAGGUUACCUUCGUUGGGUGCUUCGGCUGUGCUUCCCAUAUUUCCUCUGCUUCCUUUCCCUCCAACCUCAUCAUCAAUUUUCUGGAAGCAAGCAACGAAGACCUUCUCCCACUUCCUCUUCCAAUUGCUACAACUUGUGCCUCCCGAAUCUUUAACCAAACUCCUCAAUUGGUCUAUCAACACAAGAUGGAGAUGCUCACGACAGUAGUUAGCGACCUGCAAUAUUAGAACAAAAGGCAACAUAAGAACCAAAGAUCUUUGAAGUUUUCACUCAGGAAAUUGGACAGCAACCAACUGUGGAAUUGAAUGUUCUGACCAAAACGUGAGUACCUGGGCACCCCCAUGGCCAUCAUAUACACCAAAGAAGUGCAAUGGCAGGCGGAUCACAUCUGGGUCUAAGUCAUCCACAAUCUGAUCACCGGUAAGCAACCGAAGUGGGACUUCGAAAAAAUUAGGCACCACAACCACAGCAUCCUCCAUCUCCGGCCUUCGCCCACAAAUCGUUAUGCAUCCCCAAAGGGGCAUACUUUCCAUCAAGAACAUGCUCUGCGAGCGGCCGGCGCCACCACCUGAACGGCUUUGUGGGGUUCCGUACUCAACAACAGGUGUUAUGGUCGCAUCAGGAUCAACCAUGCUUACGGCUAGGAGUUCCACUGAAGCCGACACCGGCACAAUCUCAACAAGGCUGUUUCCUGCAUCAACAGAGGAAGGCGUCCCCAUCUCACAAGAAGAGUCAGAAACCGAGAACUCGUGCAUUGCGCAGCUUAUGCUGCUGCUAUCGCUAACGACAGAACAAGAGCUUUCGACCGACAAUCCAGGCUCGACGGAUGUUGAGUCCUCCAUGUCACUCUCCGUAAUCGGAUCAUCCCCGCCCCCGUCCUCCUCCAAAGCAGCCGUCGGCGCUGCCGCCUCGAUUUGCUCAACAACACCGACCGAAUCAGAACCAGAUGCUGCCAUGGGACCCGAGAGGAGGUGCUCAGCUUCUUCGGCAGUUCGUUUGCGGUGAGCGAUCUCGACUGCAGCGUCGCAGAGCGAACUGCCUACCCCGGAUGGCAAAGAAAGCGCGGGAGGCAUCUCAUCCAUCCACUCCCCCACCUCCCCCACAAGCGCUGUGGUCGCGGUGAAGCCAGUCACUGCGAGACGUGGCGCGUGUCGACCUCACGAGUCACGCGCACAUCCCUAACUUUGUCGAAGAUCCGUUCCUGCCGCCGCGGCCUCGUCGCUCUCUAAUUCACGGGUCACGCGGCGUUGCCUCCCGUGCCCCAGAGACCAUGACAGCACCAUCCAACCAACCCCCUUCCUGUAUCAGAGGAAGGAUUAUAUUAAGACCGGAAACAACAAUUACAAGCAACCCAAACAAAUCGAGGCAGUCUCCCUACUCAAUCAGGGCAGUCACCAGCAUACACCCAAAGAAGAUAAAGGAAAGGAAUUGAUGUGUGGCUAUGUUCCCCAAAACGAAUCUCACUGCUGAGAGGUAGAAUAUAAGCAGGACAAAAGGAUGGGGUGGGCGAAAUCGAGAACCUUUGCAUUAUCAUCUCUAUUGCACAAGCAAACGCUCCGGUGGGGGUGCUCGGCAUUGUCUCAGUUCCCUGGAUCUGAUGGAGGCCUCAUUGUCUCGAUAAUGAGAAGGAGAUGUGGAACUUUGACAAACAAGAGAUGCACAGAAGAGAGAGACGGAGAGAGAGAGAGAUGUCCGAGGAAGCCGAUGUGGGAGCGUGAAACGGCCUGUUGGAUCCAAUCCCUUGUACCGAAUCCCCCAGAAACUCUCUCUUGUGGGCUCGUCUCGACACGUGUCCCUUCUCGUACCGCGGAAGGGCCCCGCGAGAGCGCGCGUGUUCCUCUUCUCUGUGUGGGGCCCGCGGGCUGCUCACGUUUUCGCUGCACGGUUGCGGGCCCCAAGUCCCAUCGGGUCCGCGUGUUCCGAGGACAGUCCUCUCUCCUGCUGGAUGCUCACCACGUGGCCACGAUAAGAAACUUCACCGAAUCGGAUCCCAUACUUCGCGCAGCCGGACGAACGAAUCACGUGACCACGUGGUCAGCGGUCUCUUACCUUCCACUGCGGCCACCGUAACCAGUAGAGGAAGUAGCAGGGGCCCACAUUUGACGACCCUGACGUGGACGAAGUGAUUACCGGUAGGGAAGACUCACGGCACGAGUCAAGGAGUCGGAUUUGAAGGCGCCAGUGACCGGAAUAAAAGCUGUAGUACGACUGAAACACCCCUGAAAAUUUCAGGGGUGAUUUUGGUCGUCCAAAGACUAAUGGAUCAUUAACAUCUCUUAAUGUAUCUAUUUGUACACGAUUAGGAUGCUUUUGUCUUCUCCAAUCAUUUCUUUCUGAUGAUUACUACUAAAGCAUUAUUGUGUCGUCACUCGUAAUAGCCGAGUGUUCUGUCAUGUCCAUGGAGAGAGCAAUUAGAUGUAAAGUGUAAUUACCAGCUCCUUUCAACAUAUCCAUGCACCGGUGCAGGCCCGAUUGUGCCCUGAGCUUCGUCCUAGCUUCAGACGCCCUCUUCCCUCAGCUCUCCACUGUGUCCGUCAUAGACUUCCGUGGCGUCCCCACGUUUGGUUUGCUCAUCGUCAUCUCGUGGUCAGCAGAAACCAGCACGAACUUCCAUUAGCAUCUGAUGUGAAGCUUCAGCUAAGCGUGGCAUUUGUAAUGGUGAUGCCUACGAAAACGGAUUGACGAGAGAUCUGGCUCGCCGUAACUGUGUUGCCCGUUGCUGCUGUAGCUGCUUCUGCUGGUGGCAGUGCCGUCGCUGCCGAUGGAGCUAGAUUCAUAAGCAUGCCCAAGAUUCCUUAGCCGGUUCAACUCCGGCAGCACCACCAUCCCAAGAUCCGGCCGGUCCUUCCUCCUCGGUUCUGCGCACUUCAGAGCGAGCUUGGCGAACCCGAGCGUCUCCUCCACUGGCCAGUCCUUCACGGUGGCGUCGAGCAUCUCCAUGAAGGUUCCCCUCUCGAUGGCUCUCUCCACCGGAUGCGUGAGGCCCAUCGGCGGCUUGGCGGUGAUGAUCUGGAGAAGCAGGAUGCCGAAUGAGUAUAUGUCGGAUUUGGUGCCGAGCAUGCCCGUCUGCUGGUACUCCGGGUUGAUGUAGCAAAAGGUGCCGGCGGUGGAUGUCAUCACGUACCGGCUGACUUGGUUGGCGACCGACGGCGGGACCAGAAGCGCCAGGCCGACGUUGCUCAUCUUUCUCAAGUAGUUGCGGUCGAGGAGGAUGUUGGCCGGCUUGAGGUCCCGAUGAACCAGCGGCUCUGGCUUGGCCUGGUGCAGAAAGAGCAGAGCGGUGGCGAUCUCAGCAGCAACCUUGCCUCACCGGAAGGUGCGGUCCUCAAAGCUUCCGUUGUCCAUCUUACUAUUUUCUUAGCGCGACUUGAUUGAGUCAUCAGGAUCUGAGAGUUGAGAGUUGGCCGAAACGGGCGACUGCGGAGGAAGAACAGCGGUAGUAGGUGGAGUUCUCGCCGUCCUUACGGUUGUCGGCUUCCCUUUCGAUAUGGCAUACAGUGCACAAAACUCUGGUGCCAGUUUGGUCACGUAUGCAAGUACGUCAGGAUUCGUAAACUUCCGGCAAAAUGAAAGCAGAGACUUCCUUUGUCUUCGUCACAACAAUAAUUCCAUGGAUUACAAGGUUUGCAUUGCAGAGGCUACGGAGAAACGUAGAUACUUCGUCAGUGCAUUUCUGCUGGAGGCACCAACAACGAUGUCGUGGACGUAGUUUGCGUUGAUGUAGUCGAUGAUGGCCUUGGAGAUAUCACUGUCUUCCAGGACUACCUCCGCAUCUGCUCCUGAAGACCAUCGACAAAGAUCACGCAGCUCUGAGCUUUGAAGGUUUUGUUUGCUGAUCGAUUUGGAGCAAGAGAAAGAGUAGACCUGAAAGGUUACCCACCCCUUUAAGAGCGUAUCAUCCCCUGUAGGGGAGAAACAAUUGUGAUAUCUCAUUCUCCGCCUGUUCCCGGGCGGCGUCCGAGUUGGUUUCGGCUGCAGCACCCGUCAACAAUGAUUCAUCGUCAACGUAGCAGGAGCAGAGGACGGAAGAAGAAGGUGUUAGGUGAGGUGAACUAGGUGUUGUGUGAGCGAGUAAAGAGGGAAGUGUACCUAUGGUUAGGCUUGGCUUCGACGUGAACGAGAAUGAGGGCGUCAUUGCCAUGGAGAACAUGGUCGACGGUCCGUUUCACCGCCUGCUGGCUGUUCUUGUCUUUGUCGAUGGCCACCACCGUCGACGCCGACGGACGCCCGUCAUCGUUGCCUUAACCGCCGAGCAUUUCCGCACUUGUUCCCGAAGAUGAUGAGACGAAGACGACAACGAUGAUGGAGAAGAAAGGCGGCAACUUCCUGCCCCUCUCUCUCUCUCUCUCUCUCUUGGUUGACAUAAUUAUCGAACUCGGGUAAUCGGGUCGGAUCUCUAACCGCCUCGCUGCUUGUCACAGCCUCUACGUAAGGAUAAAACUUCUAUUUAUCGGAUCCGGGUAAUCGGGUCGGAUAUCCAACUGCCUCGAACAAACCCAUGUUUCCUCGCUCCUCGACGCAAGCCACGGGCGGAGGCCACAGCAAUCCCAUGGUCGCUGCCGCUCCCUUCCCUUCCGGAGCAGACGGCGAACCGACAGUUACCCCGGACCUCGACGCUUCCUUGCUCGAUCGUUGAUUGCCGCAUUCCAUCCUCCAGCAGCGGCGUCGUCGAUGGCCACUCCAAUCCGCCGCAAAGGUUUUCUUGCUUGAUAAAGAAAUAUUGUUCCUUGAUCGAACCAACAUCUUGCUUGAAUCAUAAUCGUGGAUCGUCUCGGCCCUCAAAGGACGGUCUCGACUUCCAAGAGGUGUAGUGAUAGUAGCAUCGAAGAAAGGUUUCAUUUGUCCUCCACAGUGUCUGUUAUUAGAGUAAUCAUGCUUUCAAGAGAUUACUGUCUUGUAGUAUACAACCCAUUCUCUGUAUAGCUGUGCUUCCUUCCUGCUUUAUUGCUUCUUUUUGUAGCUAUUUAUCUGAGGUAAACAUACAUUGUUGAGUUAAUGUCUUUUUGUCUAGCACCAAAAUGUACUUAUUAUCAAAGGAGCAAAACUUUUAGCUUUGAUUCAGCCUACUUAGCCCCAAUCAGGUUCUUAUAUUCAUUAGGAGUAAUAGGACUAUGUCCAUUUCAUGUGGUAAAAAAGGUCAAUUUGGAUUUUUGAAUUGUUGACAAACAAAUCACAGUUCUACUUCAGAUAUGCAUUGCUCCAUAGAAUAAUAGUGCUUGAUCUGAGGUUGGAAAAUGUUAGCUCAGUGUUAAAGUUGGUUUGUAGACUGGUAUUGAUCACUGCACCAAGCCAAUUUAUGAUUCCCAGUAAUUGCAUCAUACAAACUCUUGGACAGAAUUUUCUAAGAGUAUGUUUACCUUUCAUGAGCAGAGGCCUGAGGGUUUAUCAUUAAUCACAUCUCUGGUAAAACAGACAUAUAUUGCAGGGGUUUGCUGGAGAAGCACCUUAUGCUAUAUUGUCAUCACUUGGAGCCUCUACUACUAGUUUGAUUGUCAGCAAUUUUAUUAUUUUGGGGUGGGGGGGGGUGUAGUUAUUUUAAUUCUCAAAUGAUCAAUCUUGGGUAAUAGCCAUCUCUAAGGUCAUUAACCAGCAAUGCUAUUGAUGCUUUGGUUUUUGUCACCUAUUUCCAUACAGUAUGGCCUUUGCACACAGGCUAUAUAUGCAUGGCUUGUUCUGUCACCUAUUUCCAAACACCAGAUUGUUUGUGUAAUAAGUGGUUCUUUCUAUCUUGACAUUUAUGUUGGUGAUGUUUCUUGACACAUUUUUUGGUUUUGCAAUUGUUAGGGCUAAUUUCUCAUCAGCACUGCAAAGUAGGAAGUUUUAGUUGAAGGUUUGAUAGUUUCUGCAAUAAUACAUGAGAGAGGCUUUGGUGCAUGAGGAUUCCAUUGAUGUAGGAUCUGUGGUGGAUUCAUGUCUCUAACCUAAUUACCUUUGCUAGCAAAGAGGUUUAUGUGACUAAAAACCAGUCCAUGAGGGUCUCAUUGAUGUAGGAUCUGGGUUGUAUCAAUGUCCAUGGUCUUGAAGAGAGAUUAUUUAUGUUACUUGAGUCCUGAUCACUCAAAUUGCAAAUCAGCAAUUUUAGUGUAGCACACAAGAAAACAUUGAAAUCAAGAAGAGCAGUGGGUCUAUGGUUUGCUGUUGUUGAUACAGGUAGUAGCAUAUCAUCAAGACUGAUGAGCCUUGACUUGGUUAUAAAAUGAUAUAUACAGUAUAUUCUCAAGAUACAAGGAAACAAAUGUAGGCUCACAAGAAAUACUAUGGUUUAUGUUUAUUGUCAAUGAUCAAUUAUCAUUGAUCUGUCUGACCUAAUGCAGGUCACAAUUGCAUCUCAAACCCUGAAGUUUCAUGAACUAGAGUUUUUUUGGAAACUGUGAAUUUUUUACACUGUAUUGACAUGAAUGAGGUUCACAAGGCUGUGCUUCACAUCUAUUAGCAUAUUUAAUUAGCAGGAAUAAGUGCUUGGAAUGUUGUUCAUGCUUAAUGUCUUACCUUGCAAUGAAUCCUCUGCUCUUCUCUCACAUUUUUCUACUCUCUGUCUUCUCCUUGAGAAAGAACUCAUGAAAGCUGCCUGGUUUUGCAAUGUGGGCUUCGCAAGCAGUCUGUGCUUCACCAGAUUAAGUAGCUGAUGGUUUGUCCGGAUGGAUUACAUGGUAGUUUCUUGGACACCCAGAUGAAUCAGAUCGAGGACAUCGACAUGAAGAAAGAGAGCACUCUAAAGCAUCACUCAGUCACAGGUUCUGUUUUCUAAACCAAACUUGGAAUCGUAUUUUGUCUAAUCAAAACAUGUGUUCGAGUGUUCCUUCUUCAUGUUGUCAGUGAUGCAAAGAGAUGAAGAUAAAGGUGGUCGGCUGACAUGGUCUGUUGUUGAUGGAGAACCAAGUAUCUCCUGGUAGCCAAAGCAACUCCUGUGAAGCUUUUCUCUAGUGGAACCGAGAGGGGGUCCAAAAACGGUCCCUUCCUUCCUCUCUUUCCAAAAGUUGGAAGGAGAUGACCAAAAAAAUCCACUUGCACCAGAGGAAAGAAGAUAAGAUUUUGCAGUGCCCGAGAAAUAGUAGAAAGAUUUCUUAGUACCAGCAUUGAUCUGAUCCUGUGAGCUCCACGGCUCAGGCAUAUCUUUGUGAGCUGUCUCAUCAAGCCUGAGGCGAAAAGUGGCAUCAGAAGCUGGAACCUCAUUGAGGACACAGAAGAAACUUUUGAUCCCCUCCUCAUGAACAAAUCCACCGCAAAAGUAGGUUCUCCUGCAAAAUGAUCAGACGGGAAAGCCGUCACAGGAGCUCUUUCGAUGGGAUGCAAGGGGUGAGACAAAGCUGCGAAUGGAUUGGAUGUCGGAGACAUGUGAUCCAUCACCUGCAGGCUCUGAUCCCCAAGGGGAUCUCAAAGUAUCCAUCUCCCAUGUCUCUUCCUUCGAGGCCUAUUCCUGUGCAUCGACCGACAUGUGAGAUCUUUGAGACCAGCGACACCAUCCUCCCAUCAUGGCCGGCUUGCUUCCAUGCACGUGCGCUCCGGCACAACGAAGCUAUCUAUCUGCAGCAGCUGACAUUGUUGCCGGCUUGGCCUCGAAGUGUGAUUAUGGACCGACACAAAGAUUCACAUGGAUCGGUUCUGCUAAGGGUCUUCCUACAUCAAUGUGGUUCUGCAAGAAGCGUGCAUCUGACUGUGGUAGUAAAGGUGAAGAUUUGUUUUGGAGAUCGAUUAACAGUACAUGCAUCAGAAUGCAACCAAAAGUUUCAAUGAUUCGACAAAUCUACAGCAAGUUGGCUUCACUGCAGAGCAAAGAGGUCAUCUUAUCUCCUCAACGUCUUAUCCAAACUCAAAAAGUCAUCUUCUCCUCCUCUGUUCGAAUGGUUUUUAACACCCACCUCCUCUAGUGACUAUGGUAGGCACUGACUUAUGAGAUUUGACAACAGCUACUAAUAGGUCAUGGCAGCUAUCAGCUGGAUGCUCUGUCUCUGAUCAUUGCAGAUUGCAAUCCAGAUAACAUUUUCCUACUUGAAAAGAUGGCAUAAGUAACAUGGAUGAACAGAGCUUGGCCUGCAAUGAUUGAGUCCAUCGUGGUACUGAUGACAAUCUAACAUGAAUGUUGUAAGUAGCAGCAGAUGGAGUUAGCAGGAAAGCGUAUGACGUAGUAUUCCGAUAUGCUUUUGUUUUCCUCCUCCAUUUUAGUUUGUUUCGAGCAAGACAAGACUAAAGGCUAACUUUCUCUGUCACCUGUUUCACAGGGUCUGCUCUGUGCUCGCUACGCUCCGAGGGUUGUAGUGUUAGAUCCCAGCAUGAUGGAAACCGAGUCGGUCGUCCAUGGCGAUCGCAGACGGCUCUUCUUUUGAAGCUAUCUCUUGUUGGACCCCAUGGGCAAUUGCAGUCCCCUUUCAUCUGCUGGAUCUACCUCGAAAAGUAGAAGAAAACAGUGGUUAGCAUUCGAGCCCUGCGCAAAUGGAGGCUUUCGUGGUGACGACUGGUUGUCGGCACACCUUCCCGGUGGUGGGGGAGAUGAGACUCCUCCGACCACACGCAAUGUGUGGGUUUGGAGUGAAAACACAGAGGAGCUUUCUUCUUGUUUUAAGACAAGUUGCGAAGAUGUUGGCCCAUACAUGGAGGUGACAAGGUCGACGGCCAUGUGCCCCUUUGAGACCGCCCGCCAGCCUACCAUAUGCCACUGGCUGCAGGACUUCGUUACAGCAACCAAAGCACAAGCGAAGAAGAAGAAGAAGAAGAAGAAGAAGAAGAUGAUGAUGAUGAUGAUGAUGAUGAUGUUGAUGAUUAUUAUUAUUAUUAUUAUAUCAAGUUCUCUAUCAGUCUCUUCAUGCUGACUGUGAAAUAGGAUUUUGGAUAUUGAUGUGAUCGAAUGAUAAGAAAUCUUUUCGUCUUAAAGAAUCUCUUAAAAAUGUAAGAGAAAGGAUAAGAAAUUGGAGAAGGAAAAGUCAUCUCAAUAAUAAAUCUUUUAAAAGGCAGUCUAAAACGCUUAGCUUCGAAGACUUUUUCUUUCCCUUGUCCCUCAAAAAACACCUUUUUAGCACGCCAUCAUCUUGAUGAUCGAUGAAGAAGACGUUCAAGAACAAUCCCAAAUUUGACUUGUGGCGAUUACAUAAGAUUAAGUCAAUAAACAGUAUUUUACGGUUUGAAUAAACAAGUCAAUGAUUGCUCCGUAGCAUACAUGAAACUAUAAUGGAUCAGAGCGUGUGAUCUGAGACAAAGUUCGUGACUCUCAUCACCGAGCUGAGCACUCGACGAUCGGGCGGCGGAUAGGAUUCGGUGAAUCUAUCAUAUUAAUUGACCAGCCACACACAAAAAAUGCCUCUUCCCAAAGUCAACUCCACGGGUAGAGUCAACCUGCACCCAGGAAACAUGAAACCAUGUCAGGUUUGACAAAUGUGAUGAUUGCUGUGGCUUCAAGAAAGUCAAAGUCAAAAUGAUGCACGCUUGCAAGCGGGGAAGUCAACUGCGGGACGUGCCACCAUCUUCUUGUUAGAGUAGAUUGGAAUCCGAAUCAUUAGAUAUUUAAUUAGAACAAAAAACACUAAUCUUUGUUUGAUCACCAUCUUUUUGUCAUGACCAUCAGAAAUUUAAUUUUUUUAGGAUUUAAAUUUAUAAUUUUAUCAAAAUAUUUACCAAUUGGAUUAAUAUUUUAAAAUUAAGAUCAAUUCUAUUCAAUCUAAAUCGGUCUAUUAAAUAAAAAAUUCUCUCAAAUUAGAAAAAUAUAUAAUCUUUAAAGUCAAAUUAUUAAUAAAUCAAUUUGGACCAAAUUAAUUAAUUUGAUUUAAAUUUUCGAUUAAAUUUAAACACCCCUAAUACCGCCAAUACGAAUCCAUGGACUCCACCUUCUUCAUUGUUCAUAGGCAUCUCUCUCUCUCUCUCUCUCUCUCUAUGAAUCCAUGGACUCCACCUUNNNNNNNNNNNNNNNNNNNNCCUCUCUCUCUCUCGCUCUCUCUCUCUCUCUCCCCCAUAUGCGGAGACUACCAAACAAAAGAAGUCGACGGCCCACUGCUCUCCUCAGGUUCCUUUUUAUUUCUUUCUACUGUUGUUUUCUUGUAUCAUCUCCCCACAUAGUACAGGAAAAGACCAGCCCCAAAGAUCUUCUUUGCACCCCUACAGAUCUCUCCCCACGUUCCUCUUCGCCUUUUAUAUGACAAGCCAUCCUCACCCUCUACUCCACACACACACACACACACACUCUCUCUCUCUCUCUCUCUCUCUCUCUCUGAGAUCGACGACAAACAUAUCACAGGACGAUGAUCUUCUUGCCCAGGACCAGCUUCAUGUUCUCCUCGGUGGUGGUCGUGUUCCUUGUGGGCGGCCUGCUGUCCAUAGUUGGGCAGCACAAGCCGGGGCCUGCUGUUUCAUUGCUCCAGGAGAUCCACUCCCUGAAGCUGAAUUCCACGGUGUGCGUCGACCCCGAGGCCGUCGACCGCGCUUCCACAGACUUCGGGCUGAUUACGCGAGCCGUUCCUGCGGCGGUGUUCCGCCCGUCGUCGGACAGCGACAUAGCGGCGUUGGUGGGGUUCUCGUACGCGUCGGCUCGGCCCUUCGGGAUAGCCCCGAGAGGCCGUGGCCACUCGGUCAGGGGGCAGGCGCUUGCCCGCGACGGCGUGGUGGUCGACAUGGGUGCGCUGAGGGGCGACGGCCAGGGUCGGAUACGUGUGUGCGGGGAAGGGUGCCGGCCGAGCUAUGUGGACGCCGGUGGCGAGCAGUUAUGGAUCGACGUCCUGCGGGAGACCAUGAAGCAUGGGCUUGCACCCCGCUCCUGGACCGACUACUUGUACCUCACCGUGGGCGGCACCCUCUCGAAUGCCGGCAUCAGUGGCCAGACCUUCCUGUAUGGUCCCCAGAUCUCCAACGUGUAUGAACUGGAUGUGAUCACCGGUACGAAUCAUUUCUCCUCUGCUUCACCUAAUCAUCCACUGUUCCAUCUGUAACGUUCGGGAACGAAUGAUCAUGUCGAUCAGGAAAGGGAGAGACGGUGACAUGCUCGGAGCAGCACGAAGCAGACCUGUUCUUUGCAGUUCUGGGAGGUCUGGCCCAGUUCGGGAUCAUCACGAGAGCUCGGAUCGCCAUAGAGCCAGCUCCAACAAUGGUACGCAUGCAUCGAUCCAGAUGAGUGCAAGAAACGUGGUCUCAUUCAGUGAGUUUCGAUCCUGCAGGUAAGAUGGGUGCGGCUGAUCUACAAAGACUUUGCAGCUUUCACCAGCGAUCAGGAGAGACUGAUUUCACUGGAGAAGAAGAAGGGGUUCAACUACGUAGAAGGUUCGGUGAUAAUGGCCGAUAGCCUCACCGAUAACUGGAGAUCAUCGUUCUAUGUAGAAGAGGAUAUCACAAGGAUCUCAAGGUUGGCAGCACAGUAUGGUGCAGUCUACUGCUUGGAAGGAGCCAAGUACUAUGACCACGCUACGGCAUCUUCCAUCGAUCAGGUGGUAAACCGAUGUUGGAAAUGUAGAAUUCCUUCGUUCUGAUGUUGAAUUUGGAACCUGUUCGAUGCUUCCUGUUGCCAGGAACUCAGAUCGGUGGUGGAUGAUCUGAGGUACUUGCCAGGGUUCGAGUUCAGGAACGAUGUCAGCUACAUGCACUUCCUCAACCGAGUGCGGGAAGGAGAGACGAAGCUUCAGUCCAGGGGCCUCUGGAACGUGCCCCAUCCGUGGCUCAACAUGUUGAUCCCCAGGUCCAGAAUACUGGAGUUCGAUCGAGGGGUCUUCAAGAGCAUCCUCAAGCACAACAACUCGGUGGGUCCGAUCCUAAUCUGCGCCAUGAACAGGAACAAGUGCGUACGACUUCUUCAUGCAUCAAACUCAUUUCCACAUGCACAUGACGAGAGUGUGGCGGAUGCAGGUGGGAUCAGAGGACGUCGGCCGUCGUUCCCGACGAAGAGGUGUUCUACGCGAUAGGGCUGUUGCGGUCCGGCAUGGACGGGUGGAAGAAUUUGGAGGAGCAAAACGAGGAGAUACUGCGGUUCUGCGACGACGCCGGAAUAAGCUACAGACAGUACUUGCCUCAUUACACGUCUCUUGCGGACUGGAGGAAGCAUUUCGGGGCGAAAUGGGAUGUGUUUGUGGAGAGGAAGAUGAGAUAUGAUCCGAGAGCAUUGUUAUCUCCUGGCCAGCGUAUAUUUACCUCCUCCUUUGCUCAACAUCAAUCCAUGUAAAUACCAGCAUGAAUACCUUAAAGGAUAAGCAUAUUUCUCUCAAAGAAGAUGUAAGAGAGAAGCUCAAGAUUUCCUUUUCUUGGGGAUUAUGUAAAUAUCUUUGUGGUUUCUGUAGCACCCAACUGGAGUGAUCUACUACUCAAAUCACAGGUCAAAGACUUCGUCCGAUAUAUGUACACAUAUGAUAUGGCGUUGACUUGGUUCGAGCAACAUAUAAUCCGUAUGAAGUUGUCUGGCACAGUCAAACUACUUGUUUCCUGAUCAUAGAGAUGGAUAAUUGAAUGGAAACAGAGGAUAGCAAGCAAAAGAAGGAUCCCACAGUCUCAUGAUUCAAGCUUCUGAAAUGUCCAUUAGUAACAACUGAGCAACGACACAUAAGAUUUCAAUCAGUGCUGUCUAGUGUGUAUGCAUCAAGAAAAGAUGUGUCGAAAAAGGAAUUUUCAAUACUCAAACUUUGAUCAUUUUCUGUAAUUAUUGGAACAUCCGGCUGGUACAGAGCUUGUUCUAACACAAGCAACUCAUUGGUAGAAAGUAGUAUAAAAAACAAGAGGUCUAUCAAUUAUGAUCACAACACGGAGCAUAUUUGCACAGAUUUGAUCCAAGGCAGCACCUUUGAAACUUCAGUGCAAAAGAAUCAGCUUACACGGUACUGCCAGAAUCGCAGAAAAAGUAUUAGGAUAACAUGACACAAUGCUUGGUCGAAGCACAACAACAUGCUCGAGGAUUCAUGAAAGAUGAGGCUUUUUAUAUGCUGGGAAUAGAUUUUGCUCCAAUAAACUGCUUGAGGAGAGCCUUCUCAUCAUCAAUUUUUUUCUUCUCGGCCCGAUCACUCGGCUUCACUUUCCUCUUCUCCUCCAGCAUCCACUUAUAGAGUUCUCGCUGCUCCUGUUCUGCUAUAGGAGGCAGAACCUUCAUGGGUGCUGGAACAGGUCCAGCAACAGGUUUCGCAUCAGGAAUCACAGAUUCGGUGGCAGCUACUGGGGCAGCCAGAACCUCUCCCGCAACCUCUGCAUCCUUCUCAACUGACUCAUUCUUUGAUGUGCUAAGAAAUGCGUACACUGCAUGAAGAGGAUUGUUAAAUCGAGGAAGAGAACCAUGGAUUAGAAGUAUAUAUGUUCAACAUUUUGAUCCAUCAUUUUUAUCAUGACUAACUUGUUGCUUUCAAGGAAUUUCUGCAAUUCAAGAAUAAUACCUCUGAAUCGCCCCACAAUGAAAUGAUCGGGUUCAUAAAUGAAUACCAUUUAUAGCUUGUAAAUAUUUGAAAAGAAACAAAAUAAAAAGGACACUGGCACAGAUUGCCAAUUGUUGCUUUCACAAUUACUUUUACUUAAUAAGAGUUGAAAAGGUUGAUCAAAUCUGAGAGUGAUAAUGUACAAGGGAUUUCAAAAUGACAAUAUAAACCAUGCAAGGUGAUCAAACAUUCCAAAUUGCCAUUAAGAAAAAAUCACAUGAUGUUAAAUCCUCAUGCCUAUACAUGUUUUCAAAGUGAAGUUAUCAUAUGCCCCCUUGAAAAUGUAAGCAUUUCAGAAUGUCUACAUAUAUUUUCCGUUGCGAGGACCAACAUUUUGAACUGAUUCAAAAUUGAGGAAAUUUCUGAAACCGAACGGUAAUGAAGAAUGGGUAUUUCAAAAUGCAACAACAGCAGUUAGGCUAACAAGAGACAUGAACAUUAUCAUUGAAGCAGUCAUCUAAUGGUCUGUAACUUUAGAUACAAUGAUAGCAGGGAGAAAAUCUGUCAGCACAAUUCGCAAAAUGCAAAAGAGCCAGUAAUAACAAAAAAAAUAAAGAGAGAUGAUGCUAUCUCACAGGUCAAUUUUGCUAGCUUAGAAAUGGAUGAAGAAAGAGAGAGGUGAACUGGUCCAAUUAGGAAGGAAGAUGGAACAAUUUUCACAAUGGAAAAAAUGAACUGCAUACUUUCUCAUGAUUUGUCCUUUCAGACAACUGGGAACAAUACCGCUGAGGUUACCAACACUACAUUUUACUGGGAAAAUGUCAAAACUAAUGCGUAUAGCAAAACUAGCAACAAUGGGCUUUAAAAUACAAGAAAAUUCCACUCCAGAGUACUGCAGCCAGUUACAUUUCAAGCCACGAUGACACAAGUUUAUAAUCAUAAGAAUGCAACAUCGGUACACAAAAUGUUGUGAGUCCACAACGGUUGACACGUUAGGGUGCCUCUUAAAACCACCUGAAUGGAUAUCUUGUUUAUAUAACCUUGUCAAAAUCUGAUGAAUAAUUUGUAUCUUUAAUAAAGGAUCAAGCAAUACAAUAGCAGCCAGAAUCCAGAUAAAGGCCAAGAAGAUCCAAGCAUGACUAUGAAGAAUGUACAUCAAUCAACCUGCUAAUGAAUGAAACAUCACUAUCUGACAAAUCAUCUGUGUAUCUUAGUUGAUAAGGUAAGACAUAGAGCACUUCACCAGGAAAGCAUAUAGAAAACAAGAAAACCAAAUAAUACUAUAAAUUUUCUUGCAAAAUAGUAUACAAGAACAUAUAUAAAAGAUCAAAAUUGGAAGAUUAUAAGAAAAACAAGCUUUCAAAAACAAAUUGUAUGGAUUAGAAAAUCAUAAAUAAAAAUUUAAGAAGAGAAUAUUUAUCCUACAAAGGCCAUCAAAAUAUGUGAUACAUGACAGUUUUUACGUUGCAGAUACUUUGCGGGAAAAGAAAAAGACAAGUUGCAUGGAUUUAGGAUGAAUGUGUCUCAUCACCAUGCAAAUUUUGGUUUCUACAAUCUUCUGAUGCCGAUGAAGGAAAACCUUGCACACACAAUGCAAGCUUUGAUGCAUCAAAUUAUUAGGGGCAAAUUGCUAAAGAUAAUAUGUAAGACUCUAAUUGCAAUUCAUAUGAAAGACUUGUCUCUGUUGAGACAUCCAGGUUGGUUAGUGCAUUGUUGCACAAAGUGAUAGGUCUCAAAUUUGAGUCCAUGUGUGAAUGUCAUGUACGCCAUUUAAUAGAAUAAAAAUAUAUUUUAUUUUUUUCUAAAAAAAAUCAUAUGAAAGAUUUUGAUGCUAAAAAUUAAAUCCGCAACUAGUACCACUCUGAGACUCAAAAUGCUCAAGAGCCUCAAUUUCCGGAUUGAGGCAACAAUCUAAAACUCAGCAUCAAUAAGAUCAUCUAAAAAUUGUUGGUAAACUCUUCAUCUCCAAGACUAAUUUCUUAUGCUCAUUCUUAGGUUAUUUCCGGAUUGAGGCAACAAUCUAAAACUCAGCAUCAAUAAGAUCAUCUAAAAAUUGUUGGUAAACUCUUCAUCUCCAAGACUAAUUUCUUAUGCUCAUUCUUAGGUUCUCUCUAACACCACUAAUACUGAUCCCAAGCACGGAUGAAAAAGGUGAAGGGUUACGUUAGGUCACUGAUAAUCUGUGUCAGAUCUCAUGAACAUGGAUUUUAACUAAUCUCAAUGGUGGCAAAAACUCAAUGUAGCCGACACCAAAUAUUUGAAACUUUGAUAGUAGUAUCGUAGGUCCUCUCUAUAAUUAGAAUUUAGGAUACACCGAUACAAUUAGUUCUUUCGGAACACAUUAAAGUAGGCUAGCCAUUCCAAGAUUGACCAGUUUGAUUCAGAUUUUCUAUCUUUUACAUGACUACAAUGUUUUGGCGAGAAAGAUUCUCUUUUUUCCUCUUAGCAAGAUCUGAUCAAGAAAUCCGAGACACCGUGGGGGCAAUUAAACAAGGUUUCACUUCCUUGAAUCGUGAAGAACGAGCAGUGACCGUGAUCUUAGCGCGAACGACUCUCAAUCCUCCAGAGAGGGGGAGAAGAAGUAAAGCUUGGGAAUGGAGAUGGAGAUUAGCACGAAAGCGAGAGUGAGAGAGAUGACCUCCGACAGCAAGAUUGGCGGUGAGCAUGAAGGGUAGAACGCGGCGAAGGAAGCCCUUCUUCGCAGCAGCAGGCGGCAGACGAGGAGGAGGAGCAGCAACGGCUGCAGAAGACGCUCGUGAGACCGCCAUGACAAGGACGAGUUGUCCGCCACAGCCACAGAGAGCGAUGGGUAUGACCAACUCGGCCGGAUGGAUUUCCUUUCGGCUGUGGAUCCUCUCCAAAACGAACCCCGGUGGAAAUUUUAAACUUCCUGUAUAUAGCCGGAUACGGCAGGGCUCCACCAACGAUUCCGAAUCAAACAGUCCUGAUAGCGACAAAUAACCUUACAAUAAUUGGAAGGGAUCCGUUCCCUUCCCUGACGCGUUCCCUUUAGUUGGAGCAUUUUCAUUAGCUUUUAUUAGUUACUUUUAAUAGGAAUAAUUGAUGAAGUGAUAUAUAUAUAUAUAUAUAUAUAUAUAUAUACAUGGCACCACAUCGCAGCACCUCCUAGAGGGAGAAAUACCUCUUAGUGUUUUAUUGUUUUGAACUAAUAAAAAUAAAAAAAGUAAGUCUAAGUACAAUAAGUUAGAUUAGUAAUUUGAAAUAUAGGAAUACUAUUUUUGGAAGAGAGGAUAAUUGAUAGUCAUUUGAUUAGAAGAAGAAUAAAUAUUAUUUGCUUAUAAAAGAGUAAGUGAAUAUGGAAAAAAAAACUAAAGAGAUGAUAAUACUAUAUUUAAAUUUGGUAUAAUGAAAAAAUUAAACUCAGAAAUUAUAUGAGAAUUAUUGUUGAUAAGGUUCUUAAGAAUAAUAUUAUAAAUAUAAAAAAAUUUAGAGAUAGAAUUAUAAUUCUAAAAUUUGUGAAAGGAUAAAGAUGUUUUGAAUAUCAUUAGUACUUAUGCAUCUCAAGCCAAAUUGGAUGAAUAAAUCGAAGAGAAUUUUAGGAAAUAUUAGUUGAUAUCAUCCUAUAACUAAAAAACUUAUAAUUAGAAAAUAUUUGAAUGAUCAUGUAUAGAAAAUAUAUGGUGAAUAUAAAGAGAUGUAUGAGGGCUUUGGUUAUGGAAAGAGAAAUGAAGAUGAUGGUAUGAUUUUGAAUUUUAUAUUUUUUUUAUGAUCUUAUAAUUAUAAAUACUUAUUUUAAGAAAAAAAAUAAAUAUUUUAAUUUUUUAUAAUAGUGGUCAUAACUAUAAUCAAAAAAAAUUUUCUCGUUAGAAAGGUAAAUAAAAUUAUUUGUAAGAAGUAUAAAAUUAUACCUUAUAAAAGUUUAACAAAUCAAUGAUAUUAGAUAUUUAUUAUAGAAAAUAAAAGAAAAAAAGAUAGAAGAAAAAAAUUAAUAAGACAAGAUGGUAAAAUUUUUAAAAUGAUAUUGUAAACACUAUUAAGAAUAAGAUGGAAAACGAUGGGACUUGAAACUUACUCGAGGAUAAUAUUAAUAUUAUUUAAACUAUGAUAAUUAAUAAUAUAAGGAGCUGGGAGAUUCUUGAUAAGACUAAAUGUAAGGAAGUUUAAAAAAUAAUUUUUACUAAAAAUCAUAUUUUAAUAUUUUAAAAUUAUAAAAAUAAAGAAAAACUUAAAAUAAUUAAAAUAAUUAUAAAUAAUAAUUAUAAAUGAUUAGUAUGGUAAGAUACAAAGCUUAGGAUAAUUUUUAUAAUAAAUUAAGUAUUAAAGAUGGUGAAAAAGAUAUAUAUCGAAUUGUUAGAGAAAAAAAAAAUAAUGAUUUAGGUAACAUUAGAUGUAUUAAAGACGAAGAAUUAUUUUUUUUUUUUAACCAAGAAUUUGCAUGUAAGAAUCUGUAGUUGGGAGCAGCACGAGGGAUGUUGACUUUUGGUCAACAUCCCUAGUUGACCCGAUUUGCCGAAAUCUGACUCAGUUUUGAAUCAGUUCUCACACUAACAUAUGUCAAAAAAAGAUCAGUGUUUCCACACAUUAACUGACCAAAUCAGCUUCAUUUUCUAGUAUGAGAAACAGUAAGAACAAGGAAAUAGAAUUUGACAUAAUUUAAUGCAGAUGUUUCAUGAGUAUCAUUGACUGGUAAAUAAACAUAAAUUGUAAAAGGCAGGAAUUAGACUUGGAAUAAGUUGCAGUAAGCAACAUGUUUCAGAGAGGAGAAAGGUAUUUUGGCAGCUGCAGUAGGCAUGCAGGAGCGAGCACUCCCACGAUACAUAUAUAUGUACAGUCUAAAAGAGUCACCAGAGAAAGACUUUCCUCCAUGUUGAUGCAGCAGGAGCACGAUAUGUUUAUGCAGUAGCAGCUGCAGCUUCUUCAGCCAUUUGCGACACAGGAAGAAGGGUGCAGAUGAGAUUACGAUCGCCAUACACGUUGUCGACGCGUCCUAGUGAAUAAACCACAACCAAAUGCAGUAUUGUCACUCUCAGUUCUCUUCCUGGUAAAUGAAAGCAAGAUGAGUGAGUCAAAGCUCGUACCUGUAGUUGGCCAGAAUUUAGCACCUCGGAGCCAAGCAGCAGGGAAAGCUGC